rnacentral:lncRNA from 1 species
UUACAGUAACGGGUUUUUUCUUGCAGAUGCUCUCGUGCAGUUGCAAUGUGGAGGAAAUGUGGUUUCUACAUCAACCACCAAUGGAUCUGGGAUGUUUUCUAUUUUGUUGGAUCCUCUAAAUUAUAUUCUUUCCUCGGUAUUGAGCGACUGCAACCUGAAGGUCGAUACACCGCUGAUCAGCUGCAACUCCAGUCUCCCUGCUGUGGGUGGCCUCCUAUCACCCUUACAGUUCAUCGGGAACACUGCUCUAGGAGCCCUCCUGAGUGUUGCAAACAUCAUCCCUGCCGGAUUCCGAUUCGUGCCUUUAAAUUAAGGAGACAACUGUAGCUGAAGGCGGCAUUAUUAUUAUUAUUAGUAUGGCCAUUGCUAUGUACUACUUUAUAUGAAUAAGGCCGUUGUAAUAAAGGAAUAAAGGUCAUGAUUGGCCAUGCAUAAUCUACAUGUAAUAUAUUAUGAUGGGCCUUACUACAAAAAUAUAGCAAGUAAUUCGAUGCAAAUAAAACUAAAACUUGUUGCUAAAAACAUUUAGCAACAUAAUUAGCAUCACAUGAAGUAUUAUAUGCAGACUUGUUGUUGGUGAUUUUUCAGGAAUGAAUUUGUCCGUUGUUGAUUUAUCAACAAUGAAUUAUGUGUUGCUCACAAAUUAGCAAUGGCUUUUCCGAUGCUAAUAAAUCAGAAGAAUCUGUUGCUGGUUGAUUAAUACUUAAAAGUAUAUUUUUAUCAAGGUUUUAUAUCAUCAUUUUGCACUUAAAGUAUCAAUAACUCUUUAACUAAAACAUGUUUUAUAAUAAUAAUAUAAGAUACCUUUAAUUUAUGAUAAAUGUUCAUCUUAAAUGCAUGCCUAUCACAUAAAUAAAAGGAUUGAUUGAUGAGUUUAAGUAUUGAAAUUGAAAGGACAAAGAGAGGGCCAAACUUAGAAAAGAGAUGUUGGUGCCGUCCAAACUGGAACACUGUUCCGUAUUUAGCCCAUAUCUCGAGUUCUAGAAGUCCAAAUGACCUCAAUUUUUUUCCUGGUAGAUAAGACAAUUUCUUAGAACUUUCAUGGAUACAGGUGGUUCCAGUUCUAAUGUUAGAAAUGAUGUUUUAUUCAGACAAGAAGAUAAAGAUUUUCACCAGGUCAAGAGUUGGCCACCCACUCAACAAUUAGUAAUCAAAUCAAUAGUUUCAAAUUUUGGCCUAUAAAAGGAGGCAUUUGCCAUGCAUUUAGGCAUCUUGGUGUUCAUAUCAAGAUCAUGCUCUUGCUCUUUUUUUUUUUUUUUUUUUUGUAUUUUGUAAUGUUUAAGUUUUAUUUUAUGUUAUAUUAAUAUCUUGUUUAUGCUUUUCAUUUCCUUUCCUUUACUUAUAUAAUUAUAUUCUUAUCUUGUUUAUUUAUGUUUCUAUCUUUCAAUAUAUUUAUCUAAAUCUAUUAUGUUAAGGUGAAAAGGCUACACUAAUGAUGUAAGAAUAAAUAUAGUAUAAAUUCAAUAUAGACUUUAAUGCUAGAUACUAAUAUGUUUUAUAUUUAUUAUCUUGUUCACUCUUAAUAUUGUCGAUGUUGCUUGCAAGUGAUAAUGAGUGUAUGAUAUUAACAUAUAUAAUUAGCAGUAUAUUACUGACAAAGUUUAAUUAGUAUUACACAUAUAUAAACUUACUGAAUAAAAGGUCUUAACUCAUCACAGUUAAAUAGAACAUAGUUGUGUGCUUGUUUGAGCUCUAUUUUCGAAAAAUCUCUUCUUCUUACGACAUUUUUAGGUAUGGGUCGUCCAGUAUUGGAGAAUAUUGACAAGUUCCCACUGGAAAACACUUCACCGCCAUCAUCAUGCCGUGGAACGCGAUUUAUUCUUGUUCUUAGAUGAGGUUCGAAAUAGUAUGAGAUAAAUGUUGAGAUCUCCUCAACAAUAUAGGCCUCAUAUAUCGAAGCCUCAACAUGCGCCUUGUUCUUAACCUUUUUCUUAAGAUUAAACAAGUACAUGCAUUGAAUUAAUCAAGUAUUUUCAAUUAAAAAAACACAUAGAAAAUACUUUUAUAUAUGAAUUACAUUGCAACUGUAAUAUCUAACCAUUCGAAUGGGUACAUCCAUCUAUACUGGACCGGUCCUCCAACUUUUGCCUUGAACGGUAGAUAUAUAGGGAAAUGCUCCAUUGAGUCAAAAAAUGAUGGAGAGAAUAUCAUCUCAAGUUUACAUAGUGUCUCGACGAUAUUCGUUUGAAGCCUCUCAAUGUGCUCACCAUUCAACUUGCUGGAGCAUAUAUCUUUGAAGAAAUGACUGAUCUCCGUGAGUGCAUCCAAUAUUCCCUUUGGCAACAAAUCAUGAAAAGCUAAUGGGAUGAGUGUUUGCAUAAACACGUGGUAGUCAUGACUCUUUAUUCCAUACAAUCUGCAGUCCUUUAUAUUAACCAGCCUUGAUAUGUUCGGUGCAUGUUCAUCCAGAAAACGCAGACUCUUAAGCCAUUUGUAGACUAGCAGUUGUUCGUUUUUCUCUAACAUGAAGCUUGCUCUUGGUUUUGCGACCCGUGACUCAUCAUAAACCAACUCUAUAUUUUUACGGUUACAAUAUAAAUCUAUAUCCAAUCUAGCCUUGAUGUUGUCCUUUGUCUUCCCCUUCACAUCCAUGACGAUGUUGAAAAUGUUCUCAAACAAGUUCUUUUUGAUGUGCAUGACGUCAAGAUUAUGGCGAAGCAAAUUGGUCUUCCAAUAAGAAAGCUCUCAAAAGAUAUUUUGCUUUACCUAAUUAUGGGUCAAACCAAAACUAGAAAACUUUUGCUUACCUGAUUGAAGGCCAAACACAAUGUCACCGUACUCUGAUACAACAUCAUGCAAUUCUUCACCAGAAAGAUGCGGGGAUGCAACAUCUAUUUCAACUCUACCAACAAAGAAAUCUUUUCUGUUCUUUCUGUACCUGUGAUUAAGUGGCAAGAAGCGACGAUGAUAGUAAAAAAAAAAGCUUUACCUCCGUUUGCUAGCGUGAAUGCCUUGUUGUUUUCCAUGCAGUAUGGACAUGCGAGUUUUCCAUACGUGCUCCAACAAGAAAGCAUUCCAUAAGCUAGGAAAUCAUUGAUACUCAACAUCAAAGCUGCCCUCAUAAGGAAAUUUUAUUUCCUCGAUAUAUCAUAAGUCAGAGCUUCGGAGGACCACAACUACGCCAACUCAUCAAUCAACGGUCGUAGACAAACAUCUAUAUUCCACCCCGGGCUACUUGGAUCGAGUAUGAUAGUAGAUAAAAACAUGAACUCCGGCCUCAUACACAUUCCCGGUGGCAAGUUAUAAACUGUGAGUAUGACCGGCCAACAAGAAUAAGGAGCAAUAAAUGAACCAAAUGGGUUGAAUCCGUCUAUACACAACCCAAGACGCACAUUUCUUGAUUCAACUAAAAAGUGAGGAUGCACACUGUUAAAGCGUUUCCACGCUUGCUGUCAGAAGGAUGCACCAUCACACCAUCAACCGCAUCAUGUGCUUGGUGCCAUGUCAUGUGCUCAGUAGUCCUUGGUGACAUGAAUAACCUCUGCAGUCUAGGUGUGAUCGUGAAGUAUCUAAGUUUUUUAUAUGCCGUUAGAGUCUUUCCCUUGCCAGUUCUGGGUUUGUAAUGGGAAUGCCCGCAUGUCAUGCACUCGGUCAUCUGAGCAUUUUCAAGGUAGUGUAACAUGCAGAAGUUAAGACAUAUGUCAAUUUUCUGGUAUCCUAAACCGAGGGGUUUCAUUAUAGACUUCACAGCAUAAAAGUAAUCUUUCAGCCUGUUCCCUUCAGGUAAAAUGCUUCUCGCCCAUUCAGUAAUUUUGUCAUACCCAGCCUCACUCAACCCGUGAUCUGACUUGAUGGUGAACACCUGUGCCACGACCGAUAAUUUAUUAUGGUUUGUGCAGCCAUCCCAUAAUGGUUCGUCAGAAUCUUUCAACAAAUAAAAAAACCUAGCUGUAUCUGCAUUAGGUUCUUCUUCUACGAUUGGACAUUGAAUUACCGACUGAAUUACAGACAUAAAAAGUUCCAUCGGUAAUUUCGACUUUAAAUUAUCGACAGAAAUAUUCCGUCGGUAAAUCCGUUGCUAUUAAGCGAAUUUCUGGCAGUGAAUGAUAUGCUUUGCUAUUAGUUCUAACAUGACAACUAACAAAACUAUCACACCCAACAAAAAAAGAUAUAAAAUCAUGUUAAAGAAUUAUCUCAACCCAAUAACUUAAGUUGUUAUGUAAAGUUUUAAGAUAUAAUUUAUAUUAUUAUCUAACACACCCUCUCAAAUGAAAACAUUUUGGGUUUGAAACUUGCACAAACCCAUAUUACCUUGUGCUUAAUUUUUAUCAAAUAAAUAGAGAUGGUGAGAUUCGAACUCGUAAUUACUUAAUUAUCAAGGCUAUAAUACCAUAUCAAAGAACCAUCUCAACACAAUAACUUAAACUAUUAUAUAAAAUUUCAAGAUAUAAUUUAUAUUACUCUCUAAUCAAUUUCGAUAUUAUUUACAUGUAAGGGCAUAUUGUAUUCUGAAUGCCCCACGGAGACAGAAAGAGUUGGAAGAAAAAAGGCUAGAAGCUAGAUGCUAGAGCAUGGAGCUAUGGACCAAUCUAUGAACUUUUCAGCCACGCAGAGCAAGUUGUUGUUUGGAGCCCCUUCUACUUUAUAAAUUCUGAAGAGGCAAGAAAAAGAAGACUUUCAUCUUUUUUCGAGAGACAGAAGGCAUGCUAAUGAAACUAGGGGUGGGGGAGUUUUGUAGGUGAAGACCACAGAUGAAGCACACAGGGGAAGGAAGAAUUAGAGCUUCGUGACAAACCUAAGAUUUUUGAAUUGUUCUCUUUCUUUUCAUGGUCAUGCAGCAGAUUAUCCUACGUAAACUCACCAUCACCACAAACAAGGAAGAGAUAAGAGAGCUGUUAGUCAGCAAAAUCUGCUGCAACUUGGUCUCCCUUGUUCUAUAAAUGGGCUGAUGUCGAGACUCAAAAAUCACUUCAAUUUCAAGAUCAAGAUUGAGUUUAUACACUAAUUCUUGCAUUAAUAUCAGUACUACUGCCAUUGAGACCAUGGCCUUCAAGACAUUUCUCUUUGUUUCUCUCGUGAUUGCUGCAAUAUUGGCAGCCCCAGUUGCUGAAGCUCAGCUUGGGCUUAUUGGCGGUCUUCUGGGUUUGAUCCGCAUCCAAGGGACUCUAUUUUGCACUGCCGAUGGCAAUAUUGGUGCUAAUGGCACAGCAACCCCUGUUUUCCCUAGUAUGCUUGCCCUGAUUCCUCUUCCUUUUCUUUUCUUUUUCUUUUGAUCGAUAGUAAAGUAUCCUCGGACCAGAUUGAUUGUCAUGAUUACAUAGUUACCAUUCAUCACAUACGACAUCGUCGAAUGCAAUUUGACUUUGUUCUUCUUCUUAUCUUGCUUAUAAAGUUGUAAUUACAGUAACGGGUUUUUUCUUGCAGAUGCUCUCGUGCAGUUGCAAUGUGGAGGAAAUGUGGUUUCUACAUCAACCACCAAUGGAUCAGGGAUGUUUUCUAUUUUGUUGGAUCCUCUAAAUUAUAUUCUUUCCUCGGUAUUGAGCGACUGCAACCUGAAGGUCGAUACACCGCUGAUCAGCUGCAACUCGAGUCUCCCUGCUGUGGGUGGCCUCCUAUCACCCUUACGGUUCAUCGGGAACACUGCUCUAGGAGCCCUCCUGAGUGUGGCAAACAUCAUCCCUGCCGGAUUCCGAUUCGUGCCUUGAAAUUAAGGAGACCACCGUAGCUGAAGGAGACAUUAUUAUUAUUAGUAUGGCCAUUGCUAUGUACUACUUUAUAUGAAUAAGGCUGUUGUAUUAUACGUGUGUACUGUUUAUUGUUUUUUCUUGCUUCCCAAGGAAUAAAGGUCAUGAUUGGCUAUGCAUUAUAUAUAUGUAAUAUUUUAGCGAGUCUAAAUUACGAGGGGCCUUACUAAAAAAAACGUAGCAAGUAAUUUUGAUGCAAAUAAAACUAAAAUUUGUUGCUAAAAACAUUUAGCAACAAAAUUAGCAACAUCGGAAGUAUUAUAUGCAGAUUUGUUUUUGUUGAUUUUAUAAUAGAGGAUUUGUCGGUUGUUGAUUUAUCAGUAAUGAAUAAUCUAUUGCUCACAAAUUAGCAAUGGAUUUUCCGUUGCUAACAAAUUAGAAUAGUCUGUUGCUGGUUUUUUGAAUUAUUUACAAUCAACAACGAAAAAUCCGUAGCUAAUUAUAUGAUUUUUAUUUAAUUAAUAUAUAUAUAUUUUUAUCCAAAUGACUUUUAAUUUUUUAAUUUAUUAUUUAUGGAUAUUUUGAAAGUUGUAGAAUAUAUAUAAGAAACAUAAAUUAAUAUUUAAAAUUACUUUAUCACCAAUAAUAAAUGGAAUAAAAAUAAAAUUCAUAAUAUAAGUAAAAAUUUAGUUAAACUUACACUAAUGCAAAUAAGUCAAAAUACAAUAAAAAGAUACAAUUAUGGUGCUUGUUGUGGAGAUGAACCAUGAUAUUGUGGAUCAACAUAAGAUGAAUUAUGACAUGAUGGUCGAGGUGUAGGUCAAUAUAUUGGUGGAGAUGUGGGAUCCAUAGGUGUCAUUUUAUGGGGAGCCAUAAGUGCUGGCAUACCUUGGCCAAUGUUUGAUGUCCCACCAUGAUAUCCAAGAUUGUUCAUAAGAUAUUCUUUCAUAGAAUCCAUCUGUCGUUUCAUUUCAAAAAUAAAAUCAUCUCUUUUCUUUAUCCCGCUUCUUUUUUCUUUAUCUCCUUUUGCAAUGCUCGAUAAGAUGAAUUAGGAUAUUGUGACUUCACCGAGUAGGAAUGUGAUGAAGAACUUGUAAUCACUAUAGAUUUUGGCAUACGAGGUGCACUAUAUACCCUACCCUUUGUAACUCCUCCUGAAGCCACACACCAAGCUGCUCCAUCAAAUGAAGAAUGAUUUUUCCUAUUAGUUCCGUACUUUGAAAUCAUCUCCUUCUUAUCAUUUUCCUUAAAAAUAAAAUACAUACAAUAAUAAAUUCAUUUGAAUGUUAAAUAGUAUUUAAGUUAUAUAAAUAAAUAAAUAAAAAUACAUACAAUCACUUUCUUAGACUUGCUAUUUACAAAGAUUCUAAACUGCUUAGUACUUUGAUGCAAAGCUGAAACGACAUCAUCUCAUGAAGGUUUUUUUUCUACCAACUUGCUUUUGCUAGGAAUUAUGAAAGAACAUGUCCAUCAUGAACUCUCAUAAGUCUCUCAUCAUUUUGACAAUAUCUUGCAUUGGACUGUGUAAUUCAACACCUUCGAUGCGGACCUGGAUUUCGGGUAGAAAUCAUGAUGCUAUUUUAUGACAUGGAAAACAAAAUUAGGGUAUUUUUUUAAACCUUUAUGAACUCUCACAACUCUCACAAGGCUCUCACCAUUUUGACGAUCUUUUGUAAUGGACUGUGUAAUUCAACACCUUCAAUUCAGACCUGGAUUUUAGCUAGAAAUCUUGACGCUAUUUUAUGAUAUGGAAAACAAAAUUAUGUUUUAAUUAUAUAUAUAUGGGUCCCUGCAUUCUUCAUUAUGUUUAAAAACUUCCCCAUCCCUUUUUACCUCACUUUUUUCUAGUUUUGAUCAAGGUUGUCAAUUUCGUUCUGUUUUGUUUGGAAUCACCGAAACAUUUCAUAUCUAUUAAAAAACAUAACAAAACAGAACAAGUUUCAUCUUAUUUUAAAUCUCGGUCCAUUCCGGAGUUUUUGACUAAAUUUUGACUGGAAUGUUCCGGUUUCAUUCCACAUAUUUCAUUCCGGUCUUGAAAAGCCAUUGAAUCAAAUUGAAUCUGGUUCAAUUUAAUUAAUUAAACCACCCAAGUAUAAAAAGCUUUUUUUAAUUACUAUUUUCAAUAACAAUGAUAUUAAUAAUAAUAUUGAAAAUUAUUAUUACUAUUUUCAUUAACAAUGAUAAUAAAUUUUUAAAAUUAGAUUUAUCACUAAUAUAUAUGGUUUAUUUUCAUGUUUUUUUUUCAUGUUUAUACUUUGGAGAAAUUUGAGCAAAACAAGGGAUGCUUUAGAUCCCAUUAGCCUCGAUAACGUUGAACUACUUUAUAUGUAAAAUAUUGGUAUUAAAACAUUUUACUUUCAUAAUAUUUUGAUAUUUUGUUUAAGUUAGUUGAGAAUAAUGGAAUGUGUUGGGUUGUGCCUUAGCCAACCCUCCUAUUUAUAUAGAGGCAGCAGAACACUGCAGUAACUAUAAUGAUUACAACAUCCUAUAUUACUUUCCUAUCCUGAUAGAUACAUGAGUAACUGUAAUGAUAACAACAUCCUAUAUUAAUUUCCUAUUCUACAAUAUGCCCCCUCAAGUUGAGGGUGGGGGAUCAACUCGAAGCUUGAACCGAAAAGAAGUAAAGGAUGCAACAGGAAGCGGUUUAGUGAAGACAUCGGGCAAGUUGAUCCCGAGAGGGAACAAAAUGAAUCUGAAUUUCUUUCUUGGCAACACGGUCACGGACAAAGUGAUAAUCCACUUCAACAUGCUUUGUACGGGUAUGGAAGAUAGGAUUUGCUGAGAGAUAGGUAGCACCAAGAUUAUCACACCAAAUGAUAGGAGCAGAGACUGAGGGAACCUGCAAAUCUGUUAACAAGUAUUGAAGCCAAAUGACUUCAGUGGUACCAUCAUCAAGGGCUUUAUACUCAGCCUCAGUAGAGGAGUGAGCAAUAGUGCGUUGCUUGCCGGAUUUCCAAGAAAUCGGCGUCUGACCAAAAAAGACAAGAUAGCCGCCCGUAAACUUGCGAUCAUCAAUACUACCAGCCCAAUCUGUAUCUAUAAAGCCAUGUAGAGCAAAAGAGGAGCCUUGAGUGAUAUGGAAACCAUAAGAUGUCGUACCUUUAAGAUAGCGUAAAAUACGUUUGACAGCGGCCCAAUGAGAAUAUGUAAGAGCAUGCAUAAACUGACAGACUCUGUUAACAACAAAGCAUAUAUCUGGACGGGUGAAGGUAAGAUAUUGAAGAGCACCCACGAUUUGAUGAAAUCGUGCAGGAUCAGAGAAUGGAUGAUCCGAUAAUAAAAUGACUUUCGAAGGGGAGACUGAAGUAUCAACUGGUUUGCAGGAAGUCAUACCAGCUCGGGUGAGGAUGUCAAGAAUAUAUUUAUGUUGAUGCAGCAUUAAACCCAUACCGGUAGACUGAACUUCAAUACCUAGAAAGUAGUGAACAACACCUAAGUCACGAAGCUUGAACUCAGAGCUGAGUAACUGUAUAAGGUGAUGGAGCAUAACAGAGUUGCUACCCGUGAGCAGAAUAUCAUCAACAUACACCAGGAGAUAAAAGAUAUUGGUACCAUCAGAUAAGAUAAACAGGGAGGUGUCAACCUUGGAAGCUUGGAAAUCGACGGAGAGCAAAAAAUCACUUAGACGAGUGUACCAUGCUCUCGGUGCCUAUUUCAAACCGUACAAUGAUUUGUGCAAUCUGCACACAUGAGAUUGAAGAGAAGAGUCAACGAAACCUGGAGGCUGUUUCAUGUAGACCUCUUCAGUAAGAACACCAUUGAGGAAGGCAUUAUGAAUAUCAAGCUGAUGAAUCUUCCAAUUUCGCGAAACCGCGAUAGAGAAAACUAAUCGUACAGUGGCCUGCUUAAUAACUGGACUAAAGGUUUCAGAAUAAUCAAUACCUUCCUGCUGGGUAAAACCUCUAGCAACAAAGCACGCUUUAUAGCCCUCAAUACUACCAUCAACACGAUGUUUGAUCCGAUAUACCCAUCUACUGCCAACAACAUUCAUCGAAGGAUAAAAUGGAACCAAAGACCAAGUGUGAUUUUCGCGUAAAGCGGCGAUCUCAUUACACAUAGCAUUAUGCCAAACUGCAUACCGGUCAGCAUCAGAGAAUGAAAAAGGCUCAGAAGAGGGAGAAUACAGUACCCGUGGAGGUAGAAGUAGUGGCAGCGGAAGCAACCAGAUUAGCUGUCUUCGGCUGCCGCGGUCUAAGAGUCAUAAGAUGUCUGUUGUGUGCUUGUGGAGACGCAGGGGAAGAUGGUUGUAGUGAGGAGACCUGUGGCAGCUGAUAAAAAGACAAAUCAACCAUAAGUUGCAGACCAGCGGGAGAUGAUGAUAAAGAAGCAGCCUCAAGCACAGGACUGUCAGUAGAGGAGGGGCUGAAAGCAGAGUUUAAAGUUGCAGGAGUGCUGGCUAGGGAGGGCGAAGUAGAGGAGGGACUAGAAAGUGCCCCAAGACCAUGAGGAGAGGAGACCAAUUGACGAUCUGAACCUGCAUCAUAAGGGUUAGAUAAACAAGCAUGGGAUGAUGGCCAAGGGAUGGGUGGAGGCUGUGGUCGGGUGGCUGUUUGGAGUGGUAGAGCGGAGUGUUGUGGGCUGUUUGGGUGGCUAGUGAAAGUGGGUGGCGGUGGGUGGUUUAGCAAAUUUGGGAGGGUGACAGUAGCGGGUGGGGUGGGGGUUGUGGUGGAGACCUUUGCAAUCUGUUCAGAAUUAUCAAAUGGAAACACAUGUUCAUGGAAGCGGACAUGGCGAGAAAUAUAAAUACAAUGAGAUGCAAUGUCAAGACAUCGAUAAAUAAUAUGCGAGGAACUAUAUCCAAAAAACACACAUGGAGAGGAAUGAAAAUCCAAUUUAUGAUUAUUAUAUGGAUGCAGAAAAGGAAAACAGAGACACCCAAAGGUACGCAAAAAAUGAUAAUCAGGAGACCGUUGAAAUAAACAAUCAAACGGAGAGCGAUGGGCAAGAACAGAAGUAGGCAUGCGAUUUAUAAGAUAAACAGAGGUUUCAAAAGCAUAAUUCCAGAAUCGAAAAGGUGUUUUACAUUGCCCUAAAAGAGUAAGACCUGUCUUAUGACGACGCUCUACUGUUCCAUUUUGUUCAUGAGUGUGGGGAUAAAUCAGACGAUGAUGAAUACCAAUGGUCUGAAAAAAAUAUGGAUAGUUUUUGGUAUUCACCGCCCCAAUCAGUUUGAACAUAUUUUAAACUUUAAUGAAAAUUGACGUUCGACAAGAGUUUGAAAUUGAUGAAAAACAGAGUAAACAUCAGACUUGGCAACGAGAGGAUAAUACCAUAUAUAUUUAGUAUAAGCACAACAAAGAUAACAAAAUAACAAUAGCCAUCUGAAGAAAAAAGAGGAGCAAGGCCCCAUACAUCAUUAAAAAUUAAUUCAAGUGGAGCAGAAGUUUUGUGACAUGUAGGUCCUAAAGACAAACGCGAUGAUUUUCCUAAAGGACAACUUUGACAUUGAAAAUUAAGACGUUUGUUGUUACAAAUGAUCUUAUUUUUCGAGAUUAACAAUUGAAAAAUACGUGAAGUAGGAUGACCUAGUCGACGAUGCCAUAAAUCGGUAGAGGCAGAAGUGCAGGGAGACCAAUAGGCUUGAGGAACUAACGUGAUGGAAGACUUGGUCAGGGUAUAGAGACCAUCUUUACUCUGACCUGAGAGAAGGACUUCAUGGGUGUUGAAAUCCUUGACAUAAAACACACGAGGGUGAAAUUCAAAAUAAACAUUAUUAUCAAGAUAAAAUUUCUGAACAGAGAGCAGAGGUUUUGUGAUUGCAGGAACAUGAAGAACAUUAGAUAAGGUGAAAGAACGAUGUGGUGUAUAUAUUUUUGUAUGACCAAGAUGAGAUAUAGGAAGGCCCUUACCAUCACCAACAUGCAAAUUAUCAUUACCAAGAUACGGUUCUGAAGCGGUCAAGGUGGCAAGAUCAGGUGUGACGUGUUGAUUGGCACCGGUAUCUGGAAACCAAUCAACAGAACCGGUUGAGGAGAGAUUGCGCUGCACCAGGUUGGCAGUAGGUUGUUGGCCAUAACCUCGCUGCUGGAAUUGAGGGCAAUGGGGAGCUGUAUGGCCGAAAUUCUGACAUAGUUGGCAGCGUGGAUUCUGCCCCUAUUGCGCUGCAAGAGCCCUGCCUAUUGUCACGAAGGAGGAGUUUUGGAAGCUGCGGUGAUCAGGUCUGGAGCCAGCAAAUCGGUUGCCUGCUGUUGGACUGGUUGACGCCAGCCACCGUUGAAGCGGCCCCUGCUGCGGCCAGAAUUGCCAAAAGUCUGGCGCUGCGCAACAAGAGCAGAAGAUGGAAUGCUGGGUGUGGGCAGCAGAGGAGCAUGUAUGGCAGCAAGAUUUGUGAAGAAAUUCAUGUGUGAGGAGAUGGCUGUGAAGAUCUGCAUAUGAUAAAGGUUCAGCCUUGGUAAUAAGACUGGUAACUAAGUCUUUAAACUCUCCCCGAAGACCACGAAACACAUAUAAAUUGAAAUCUUCAAGCGAAACUGGCCGACCACAGCGACCAAUUCAUCAAAUAAGGCCUUCGCUUUUUGCAUAAAUUGAGUUACUGAUUCAUCACCCUGUCGAAGAUCCUGAAGAGAGCCGUGAAGUUGCAUAAUACGAGAGUUGGAGGUGGAAGCGAGAGCUCGCUCAAGAGUGCCCCAAGCUGAACAAGAACUUUGACAGCCAACAACAAGAUGCAAAACUUCUAAUAGAUAGGGAGGAAAGAAGAGCACUUAGAAUGAGUUGGUCCUGCUGUUUCCAGGUUUGAAAAAGCGGAUUUACCUAAAGAGAGAUACCAUCAUGGGCAAGAACAUGUGUUGAUGGACAUGUGUUGGAGCCAUCAACAAAACCAAAAACUCAUUCGCCUAAGAGAUAAGACAACAUCUGCAUACGCCAAUAUAAAUAAUUGGUGUUUGUUAAUUUGAGGGAGAUGACUUAAUCAGUGUGAGAAAGGGAGAUAAUGCUUGCGGCAGUAGAGGCAGCAGACAUGGGCUGCAAGAGGAGGCGUUCACCAGCCAUGGCAGAGGAGAAUCCAGGCGGUGACGCAGUAAAGGAGGCACUGCAAGAGAAGAGGGAUGCACUGCCGGAGAAGAAGAAAACUGGACUGCUGGUGCUGCAUAAUUUGAAGAUGUAUGUGGCGGCUGUUCCAUUGAAGAAGGGAGGCUGAGAGGCUGUGAGAAAAGUAGGUUUAAUUUAUUUUAGGGUUUUGUGGCUCUGAUACCAAGUUGAGAAUAAUGGAAUGUGUUGGGUUGUGCCUUACCAACCUUCCUAUUUAUAUAGAGGCAGCAGAACACUGUAGUAACUGUAAUGAUUACAACAUCCUAUAUUACUUUCCUAUUCUGAUAGAUACAUGAGUAACUGUAAUGAUAACAACAUCCUAUAUUAAUUCCCUAUUCUACAAUAAAGUUAAAUUACUUUAAGUUAAAGAUCUAUUUAAUUUUGAUUAUUUAAAAAAAAUUUAAAAUUUAAAAUUAUAUUUGUUUGACAUUGUGUUUGUAUUGCAUAAUUUAUAAUUAAUUUAUCUUGAAUUUGAAUUAUGUUUGUUGAAUAUAUAUAUAUAUAUAUAUGAACAGUGUAACUCUGAAACGACACGCCGAAACAUUCCAUUCCAAUUAAAAAAAAAAACAAAACACCUAUCAAAACGGAAUUGAAAACCUUGGUUUUGAUUGUAUUUCCAAUUCAAAUAGUAAUUUAUUUGUAUGAAAAGGACUUUUUUUGCUAUCAUUUCUUCUUCUUCUGCGUUCCAUUAUUAUUUAUUUCAAUUUUUAUAAUUUUUAUUGUACAAUUCAAAUUUUGUUAGUGUUCUAAUGUUGUAGACUUAACGAUAAUAUUUAACAUUGUUAACAUGUAAUGAAGAUAAAAAUCAAACCUGCAAAGAUUAAAAUUAGUGCAAAACCAGGUAGAAUAUUUUAAACACAAAACCAGGAACAUGUAACUUAAAUGAACAAUUAAUAGUUGGAAUACCUGAAUUUGAAUCCCUUGUCCUAAAACAUAUAAAAAAAAAUAGCAAGUGGAAUUAGGGAUAUUAAUAGAUAAUGAGGAGGGUUUUAUAUUUGGGAUGACAAUUUAAUCCGAACUCGAUAGAUACCAACCUGAUUUGAAUGAAUGAAUAUACCAACCAGGGUUUUAUAUUUUUGGACUUGAUGGAUAAUGAAUAGGGUAUGGAUGUUAUGAAACACGACCAGAAACCUGUCCAAACCUAAUGUGGAAUAUAUUUUUAUAUUAUAUAAAUAUAUUUUUAAAAUAUUUAGAUUUUUUAAUACAAUAUGAUACAUACAUAUCUUGGUAUUGACAUAAUACACACUUACAUAUAAACUUUUUUAUUUUUUAUUGAUUAAUAAAUAAUAGUAGAUAGUAGAUGAUUAUUUGAUACCUGAAACUCGAUGGAUAAUGAGUAGAGUAUGGAUAUCAAGAAAUCCAACCCGCGAGUACAUUUUGGCAUCCCUGUUUUAUACCAUCUGUACCCGAAUCCAAAUCUAAAAUAACUAGUCGAGUCUGAACGGGUAUGGAUUUUUUAUACACGAACUUGAAUGCUAUAUUUUACAGCUAUUUAGUACAUAAUUAGCUUGCUAUACAUAUAAUUUUCUCAAACUUUAAUAUUAUUUAUUGAUUUCAGGGCAGGUUCGGGUAGACCAAUAUCAUACUAUACUUGGACCUGACUUUUUGCAUUUGAAUUUUACUCGAAACUCAAUUGAGUCUAAAAAAUUUCUAUUUGAAUCGAUUCGAGUUAGUAUCCAUAGGUAAAACUGUCAUCAUAAGUAUAAUCCAAAUACCAUAAUCUUUGGCAAUGAUAUGCUUUGCUAUUAGUUCUACCAUGACAACUAACAAAACUAUCACACACAACAAAAAAAAGCUAUGAAAUUAUGUUAAAGAGCCAUUUCAACCCAAUAACUUAAGUUGUUAUGUAAGGUUUCAAGAUAUAAUUUAUAUUAUUUUAUAAUAAAUCUGAUAUUAUUUACGUUUAAGGGAAUCUUAAUGCCCUCACUGAGAAGCUAAGCAGAGGCGAGAACCGGGCGACAGAAAGAGUUGGAAGAAAAAAGGCUAUAAGCUAGAUGCUAGAGCCUGGAGCUAUGGACCGAUCUACGAACUUUUCAGAGGAAGUGGAGACGAACAAUUCUAUCGGAGAACCCCCAAGUUUCAGCUACGCAGAGCAAGUUGUUGUUUGGAGCCCCUUCUACUUUAUAAAUUCUGAAGAGGCAAGAAAAAGAAGACUUUCAUCUUUUUUCGAGAGACAGAAGGCAUGCUAAUGAAACUAGGGGUGGGGGAGUUUUGUAGGUGAAGACCACAGAUGAAGCACACACGGGGAAGGAAGAAUUAGAGCUUCGUGACAAACCUAAGAUUUUUGAAUUGUUCUCUUUGUUUUCAUGCUCAUGCAGCAGAUUAUCCUACGUAAACUCACCAUCACCACAAACAAGGAAGAGAUAAGAGAGCUGUUAGUCAGCAAAAUCUGCUGCAACUUGGUCUCCCUUGUUCUAUAAAUGGCUGCUGAUGUCGAGACUCAAAAAUCACUUCAAUUUCAAGAUCAAGAUUGAUUUCAUACACUAAUUCUUGCAUUAAUAUCACUACUGCCAUUGAGACCAUGGCCUUCAAGACAUUUCUCUUUGUUUCUCUCGUGAUUGCUGCAAUAUUGGCAGCCCCAGUUGCUGAAGCUCAGCUUGGGCUUAUUGGCGGUCUUCUGGGUUUGAUCCGCAUCCAAGGGACUCUAUUUUGCACUGCCGAUGGCAAUAUUGGUGCUAAUGGCACAGCAACCCCUGUUUUCCCUAGUAUGCUUGCCCUGAUUCCUCUUCCUUUUCUUUUUUCUUUUCUUUUGAUCGAUAGUAAAGUAUCCUCGGACCAGAUUGUCAUGAUUACAUAGUUACCAUUCAUCACAUACGACAUCGUCGAAUGCAAUUUGACUUUGUUCUUCUUGUUAUCUUGCUUAUAAAGUUGUAAUUACAGUAACGGGUUUUUUCUUGCAGAUGCUCUCGUGCAGUUGCAAUGUGGAGGAAAUGUGGUUUCUACAUCAACCACCAAUGGAUCUGGGAUGUUUUCUAUUUUGUUGGAUCCUCUAAAUUAUAUUCUUUCCUCGGUAUUGAGCGACUGCAACCUGAAGGUCGAUACACCGCUGAUCAGCUGCAACUCCAGUCUCCCUGCUGUGGGUGGCCUCCUAUCACCCUUACAGUUCAUCGGGAACACUGCUCUAGGAGCCCUCCUGAGUGUUGCAAACAUCAUCCCUGCCGGAUUCCGAUUCGUGCCUUUAAAUUAAGGAGACCACUGUAGCUGAAGGCGGCAUUAUUAUUAUUAGUAUGGCCAUUGCUAUGUACUACUUUAUAUGAAUAAGGCCGUUGUAAUAAAGGAAUAAAGGUCAUGAUUGGCCAUGCAUAAUCUACAUGUAAUAUAUUAGCGAGUCUAUAUUGUGAUGGGCCUUACUAAAAAAAUAUAGUAAUUCGAUGCAAAUAAAACUAAAACUUGUUGCUAAAAACAUUUAGCAACAUAAUUAGCAUCACAUGAAGUAUUAUAUGCAGACUUGUUGUUGGUGAUUUUUCAGGAAUGAAUUUGUCCGUUGUUGAUUUAUCAACAAUGAAUUAUGUGUUGCUCACAAAUUAGCAAUGGAUUUUCCGUUGCUAAUAAAUCAGAAGAAUCUGUUGCUGGUUGAUUAGUACUUAAAAGUAUAUUUUUAUCAAGGUUUUAUAUCAUCAUUUUGCACUAGAAAUAUCAAUAACUCUUUAACUAAACCAUGUUUUAUAAUAAUAAUAUAAGAUACCUUUAAUUUAUGGUAAAUGUUCAUCUUAAAUGCAGACCUAUCACAUAAAUGAAAGGAUUGAUUGAUGAGUUUAAGUAUUGAAAUUGAAAGGACAAAGAGAGGGCCAAACUUAGAAAAGAGAUGUUGGUGCCGUCCAAACUGGAACACUGUUCGAUAUUUAGCCCAUAUCUCGAGUUCUAGAAGUCCAAAUGACCUCAAUUUGUUUCCUGGUAGAUAAGACAAUUUCUUAGAACUUUCAUGGGUACAGGUGGUUCUAGUUCUAAUGUUAGCAAUGACGUUUUAUUCAGACAAGAAGAUAAAGAUUUUCACCAAGUCAAGAGUUGGCCACCCACUCAACAAUUAGUAAUCAAAUCAAUAGUUUCAAAUUUUGGCCUAUAAAAGGAGGCAUUUGCCAUGCAUUUAGGUAUCUUGGUGUUCAUAUCAAGAUCAUGCUCUUGCUCUUUUUUUUUUUUUUUGUAUUUUGUAAUGUUUAAGUUUUAUUUUAUGUUAUAUUAAUCUCUUGUUUAUGCUUUUCCUUUCCUUUCCUUUACUUAUAUAAUUUUAUUCUUAUCUUGUUUAUUUAUGUUUCUUUCUUUCAAUAUAUUUAUCUAAAUCUAUUAUGUCAAGGUGAAAAGGUUACACUAAUAGUGUAAGAAUAAGUAUAGUAUAAAUUCAACAUGCACUUUAAUGCUAGAUACUAAUAUGUUUUAUAUUUAUUAUCUUGCUUACUCUUAAUACCUUACUUGUUAAAUGGUUAAUCUAGAUUUGUGUUGAACAACCCUUGGUACAACAAAUGCUUGGCACUUUCAUAGCCCAAUCAUAUGGUAUAACCUACACGUGUGCUAUGAAAGAAUUAGAAUUAAUUGAGAGAUAGUUUUGUGUUUAAUUGUGUUGGAUGCAUAAGAGUAGCAGCCAUCCUUUGUAUUUAUACUUGUAGGGUUGUGUACAAUAUAAUGGUGGGAUGUAUUACAUACUAUAACUAUUACUAUGUAGAAGUGUUUACAUUGAAUUCAAACUCUUUCCUUAAUACACCCCGUCAAUCUGAAGGUGGAGAUUCCACCCGAAGCUUGGAUCGAAAAUAAGCAAACGAGACUGGAUCGAGGAAGAGGCUUGGUAAGGACAUCAGCUAGUUGAUCUUUGGAAGAUAUAAACCGUACCUGAAUUUCUCGCUUAGUAACACGAUCACGGACAAAAUGAUAAUCAACUUCAACAUGUUUAGUACGAGCGUGAAAUACUGGAUUUGCAAUAAGAAGGUGGCCCCUAAAUUAUCACACCAUAACGUGGUCACAGUCGAAGAAGGAAUCUGAAGUUCUGUCAAUAAUGAGCGAAUCCACAAAAUCUCAGCAGUACCAUCAGCUAAGGCUUUGUAUUCCGCUUCAAUGGAGGAUCUCGCAACAGUGCAUUGUUUCCCGGAUUUCCAGAGAUAGGGGUAGAGCCAAGGUACACAAGGUAACCACCUGUGGAUUUUCGAUCAUCAAUACUACCUACCCAAUCAGCAUCUGUGAAACCAUGAAGAGACAGAGGAGAAUCCCUAGUGAUGUGCAGGCCAUAAGUUGCUGUAGCCUGGAGGUAACGCAAGAUGCGUUUGACAGCAAACCAAUGAUCCUCAGUGGGGGCAUGCAUAAAUUGACAGACCUUGUUGACCGCAUAACAGAUAUCAGGUCUAGUGAAGGUAAGAUAUUGUAAUGCCCCAACAAUUUAUCGAUACCGUGUGGGAUCAGAGUAGAGAGUACCUGGUAUGAGUCCUAAUUUGGAGGAGGCAGAUAGAGGAGUAUCAACUGGUUUGCAUGAAGUCAUACCUGCUCGUUUGAUGAUAUCGAGAGCAUACUUAUGUUGGCUUAAUAAGAUACCCAUAGCAGUAGGUUUAACUUCAAUGCUUAAGAAGAAAUGAACAGAACCCAGAUCCCGAAGCUUAAAUUCUGAUUGCAGCAAGGUAAUCAAUCUAUGAAGCAUAGCUGAGUUACUUCCGGUUAAUAAGAUAUCAUCAACAUACACAAGCAGGUAAAUCAUGGCACCAUCAUGAGAGAGGAUAAAUAGAGAAGUAUCACCCUUGGAUGCCUGAAAUCCAAUGGAUAGUAAGAACUCACUCAACCUGUUGUACCAAGCACGAGGGGCUUGUUUCAAACCAUACAGAGAUUUAUGGAGACAACACACAUGAGACGGGAGUGCCGGAUCAACAAACCCAGGCGGUUGCGCCAUGUAUACCUCUUCCUGAAGAAUGCCAUUUAGGAAAGCAUUAUGGACAUCCAACUGAUGAAUGGUCCAUCCAUAUGAAACAACGAUAGUGAGCACAAGGCGAACCGUUGUAGGCUUGAUCACUGGACUGAAUGUCUCCAAAUAAUCAAUCCCUUCUUGCUGAGUGAAGCCGCGGGCAACUAACCGUGCCUUAUAUCGGGCAACUUGACCAUCAACAUUUCUUUUUAUCUUGUACACCCAUCUACUGCCAAUCACAUUCAUAGUUGGAUGAAGAGGCACCAACGUCCAAGUCUGAUUAGAGUGAAGUGCCCGAAGUUCCUCCUGCAUGGCAGUGUCCCAAGUAACAUACCUGUUUGAGUCCUUAAAGGACAAUGGCUCCUGCUGAGGUAAGGUCGUGUCUCGUGAGACAGCCGCAAUGCUAAGAUUAGCAUUUCUUUCUGGCCGUGGGCGAAGCACCAUAGGAUGGGUGCGAGCCCGCUGAGAUGGGGAGGAGACAGCGGCAGGGACAUGCUGAAGAUUGAAUUUAGAUAGAUCAACACAUACGUUAAUUCCAGGAGGGGAAAGCGAGGAAGAACCUGUGGGUGAAGAACUCAAUAUAGGAGAAGACCGUGAUGGAGACCCAGCAGAAGAAGUAUCCAUAACAGGGGAGAAACCAUGGAGCUGGCAGCAACAUCGGAUGAUGCUUGUGAGUGUGACGAAUCUGAACCUGCAAUUGAAGAAUGAUCAUAAUAACAUGCAGAUAAUGGUAAAGUAGCCGAAGGAGGUGUAGGCAGUGAUUUAGAGAGUGAGGAGGGUUGCAUGAGAGGAAGUAAAGUGACGGGUAGAGAGGGAGCAGAGGGCUGUUUGGGUGUUGCUGCAAUCUGUUCAAUUUUAUCAAGAGGAAAAACAGUUUCAUGAAACCGGACAUGACGUGCAAGAUAAAUUCGUUUGGAUGACAAAUCAAGACAACGAUAACCGACAUGUGAGGUACUAUAUCCUAGAAAAACACAAGGUGUGGACCAAAAAUCUAAUUUGUGAGCAUUGUAUGGACGAAGAAAAGGAAAGAAGAGACACCCGAAAGUACGAAGAAAUGCACAAUCAGGAGUCGAUUUUAACAGACAUUCAAACGGUGUCUUAUUAUUAAGGACUGGAGUGGGCAUGCGAUUAAUUAAAUAAACAGAACUUUCAAAAGCAUAACUCCAAUAUUUAAGGGGAGCAUGACACUGACCAAGGAGAGUGAGUCCAGUUUCAACAAUAUGUCUAUGACGGCGUUCAACCAUGCCAUUUUGUUCAUAAGUGUGCGGGCAGAUCACACGAUGAUGAAUACCAAUCAUUUUAAAAUAUGUAUUUAGUUUUUGGUAUUCACCACCCCAAUCAGUUUGAACAAACUUAAUUUUUAAGGAGAAUUGGCGCUCCACAAGCGCCUGAAACUGAUGAAAAAUUGCAAGGAACGUCAUACUUAGCAACCAAGGGAUAAAACCAUAUGAAUUUUGUAUGAGCAUCCACAAAAAUAACAAAAUAGCGAAAACCAUCAGAUGAAAACAUAGGGGAUGGACCCCAAACAUCACUAAAAAUCAAGUCAAGAGGAGCUCGAGUUUGAUGACCCGUAGGUUUUAGAGUCAGACGCGAUGACUUGCCUAGAGGGCACGUAGGACACUGAAAAUUAAACUUAGUGGACAUACAUGACACUUUUUUAUUUUUCACUAGCAAAUGCAAAAUACGUGGACUAGGAUGUCCAAGUCAACGAUGCCAGACAUCAGCUGAAGUAGAUAGACAAGUAGAGGAAAAAGCUUGAGGCAACGAUGUUGCGGACGUCGCGGACAAAACAUAUAGACCAUCUUUACUCUGACCGGAAAGAAGAACUGCCUUUGUCAUGAGAUCCUUAACAUAAAAUAGAGAGGAAUGAAAUUCAAAAAACACGUUAUUCUCAAGAAAAAAUUUUUGAACAGAUAUCAGAGGUUUUUUAAUGGUAGGAACAUGUAAGAUAUUGGAUAACGUAAAAAUGCGGUUUGGUGAGCGAAUUUUGGAGUGAGCAAUAUUUGAGAUAACAAGGCCCUUACCAUCACCAACAUGCAGAUGAUCAUUUCCAAGAUAAGGUUCUGAACUCGUCAUACUUACAAGAUCCGGCGUGACAUGAUGAUUUGCACCUGUAUCAGGAAACCAAGUAACAGGAGUGGUGGAAGGGGCAGUAUUAAAUGCAAGAUUAGCAUUAGCUUGCAUAUGAUGAGUAGCCAACUGAGAACACUGUUGAGCAGUAUGCCCAUAUUCAUAACAUAGCUGACAUUUUAUGUUGCGAGGAUAGCCACCAAAACGAUUUCUUGCUGCCCAAAAUUACCUGUUGGCCGUGAAGAAGAGCCAGAUGAGAACCGGUUCCCAUGUGAGCUGUAUUGUUGUCCUGAAGUAUAAGUGUUUGCUAGUCCAUUGCCACGAUAAAAAUUGAAUGCGAUUGUUAGGUCUCCAACCCCCACGAAAACGCCCCCGUCUGCCAGAUUGAUGCUGCACAAAGAACGCAGCUGGUUGCUGCGUUGGAGUAGGUAAUAGAGGGGCUGUUACAGAUGGCUGGAGGGAGGCUUUGUGAAGGAACUCAUGUGUAAGAAGGCUACUAUGGAGAUCAGUAUAGCUGAUGGGGGCAUCAUUUGUGGAGAAGCCGGUGACAAGAUCUUUAAACUCACUGCGCAAUCCGCGAAAAACAUACAGAUUAAAUUCUGCCAGGGAGAUUGGUCUACCAGCGGCAGCCAAUUCAUCAAACAAAGCCUUAGCCUUCUGGAGGUAAAUGCUGGCAGAAUCAUCAUUCUGUCUUAGGUCCUGGAAUGAGCCGUGGAGCUGCAUAAUUCUGGAAUUUGAGGGAGAGGCCAGAGCUGUUUCUAACGUUGUCCAGAUUGCAUGUGAAGUGUUGCAAUCUACAACCAAGUGCAGAACUUCGACCGAGAGAGAAGAUAGGAGGGCACUCAUGAUGAGGUGAUCUUGCUGCUUCCAUGAUAAAAUAUGCCGGGUUGACAGAGAGUAUAGAUGGCUCAGCCGAUGCCAAAUGUGAAGGAGGACAUGGUGAUGUGCCAUCAACAAAUGAAUAAACACCUUGGCCCAAGAGAAAAGGUUUCAUCUGCAUCCUCCAAUACAAGAAAUUAUGGUUGGAGAGUUUUAAAGAAACUACCUGAUGUGUGUUAGGAAGAGAGAUAAUGGAGGCAGUAGGCGAUGCCCCAUACAUGACUGAUUGCUCUACAGGGGAGAAGGAAGAUUGAAGAGCUGAUACAGCGCCAGCAGAUUGUUGAUUGUCCAUGUUGCUAGGGAGAAGAAGUUUCAGUUUCUACUUCGUGAUAAGUGACAGAGGAAGGAGAUGAGAAGCUGCUGCUUUGUGAAUUAAACUGAGGAAGAACCGGCUGCUAAGAAGAUAGGAUGGCUGCUGGUUGCCAAAUAGCUACGCAGGAGAAUUUCAGCUUUUAAGGGAGAAGGCUGCUGAACAAUAACCGGUGCUCUGAUACCAAAUUAGAAUUAAUUGAGAGAUAGUUUUGUGUUUAAUUGUGUUGGAUGCAUAAGAGUAGCAACCAUCCUUUGUAUUUAUACUUGUAGGGUUGUGUACAAUAUAAUGGUGGGAUGUAUUACAUACUAUAACUAUUACUAUGUAGAAGUGUUUACAUUGAAUUCAAACUCUUUUCUUAAUAGAAAGGAAUUUAAUUUGUUGUUAACAUAAACUAUCACCAUGAAUACCUGAUAAUAUUUACAAGUAUUGGCAUUACUUGAAUAAGAUAAUUAAUAUAAUCAUGUUAAUAAUUUAUAAUCUGAUUGGAACCUCCUUUGUGUGUGGUUUUCAAUUGAGUAAUAAGAGUUUAUACUAUACUUGUUUGAAGUACCAUUAGUGGAUCCUCUAACCUUGACAUUUGUUUUUAUAAUUGUUUAAUCAUCAAAUUAAUCUUACAUCUCAAAGUCCUCUUUAUUAUUACUAUUACUAUUACUACUAUCAUUAUUAUUAUUAUUACUAUUACUAUUAUUAUUGUUGUUGUUGUUGUUAUUUAUAAUUUAUAUAGUUAACCUCUUUGUGGUUCGACCUCGGUCUUGCCGAGUUAUUUAUUACUUCGACACUCCUGCACUUGGGAGAAGACAUGAAUCUUUUGAUCGUGUCACUGGUUUUGUGAAUCAACCAUGGAUUUCCCAUUGAAUUAUUUACAAUCAGCAACGAAAAAUCCGUUGCUGAUUAUAUGAUUUUUAUUAAAUUAAUUUAUAAUUUUUAUCCAAAUGACUUUGAAUUUUUUAAUUAAUUAUUUAUGGAUAUUUUGAAAGUUGUAGAAUAUAUAUAAAAACAUAAAUUAAUAUUUAAAAUUACUUUAUCACCAAUAAUAAAUGGAAUAAAAAUAAAAUUCAUAAUAUAAGUAAAAAUUUAGUUAAAGUUGCACCAAAGCAAAUAAGUACAAAUACAAUAAAAAGAUAUAAUUAUGUGCUUUUUGUGGAGACGAACCAUGAUACUGUGGAUCGAUGUAAGAUGAAUUAUGAUAUGAUGGUCGAGGUAUAGGUCAAUAUAUUGGUGCAGAUGUGGGAUCCAUAUGUGUCAUUAUCUGGGGAGUUGUAUGUGGCGGCAUUGAUGGGGCCAUAGGUGCUGGCAUACCUUGGCUAAUGUUUGAUGUCCCACCAUGAUAUCCAAGAUUGUUCAUAUGAUAUUCUAAUAUUAUUACUAUUAUUAUUAUUAUUAUUAUUAUUAUUAUUAUUAUUAUUAUUAUUAUUAUUAUUACUAGUAUUACUAUUAUUAUUAUUGUUGUUGUUGUUGUUAUUUAUAAUUUAUAUAGUUAACCUCCUUGUGGUUCGACCCCGGUCUUACCGGGUUAUUUAUUACUUCGACACUCCUACACUUGGGAGAAGACAUCAAUCUUUUGGUCGUGUCAAGUUUUUGGCACCGUUGCCGGGGAGGUAAAUUCUUGUAUAAAUUAUAAUAUUUAUUUUAUUUUCUCUUUUCACUUUUCAUUUUAUCUAACUUUUAUUUCUUUUGUUUUCUUUUGUUUCUUUUUCUUCUCUUCUCCUUUCUUCCUUUAUUCUCCUCUUACACGUGCAUGAGAGUUUGGUCACGUAUAUUAAAUGGUAGACUUUGUAGGGUAUCCUCAUAAUUUUUAGAAAUAUGACUGAAGAAGAUAAUCAAUACCUUCAUAAUGAGAAUAAUGAGAAUAACUGUAUGAGAAUACUUGGAGACCAUAUGAAUCCCACAAGAACAAUUGCACCCUCAUGCAUAGUUUUCCCUCCUGAUGCAUUUCAUUUUAAUUUUAAACCAUACAUUAUUCAACUUUUACCUUCUUUUCAUGGCUUAGACCUAGAACAAUUUUUAAUUUUUUUUUCCAUCUCACAGAACAAACUCUUUUAAAAGACAAAUCAUCACUUUCACUCAAAAGCCAGGAGAAAUAUUUUACCAAUGUUGGGAUAGGUAUCGAGACUUGCUUAAUACUUGCCUUCAUCAUGGUUUUGAAACAUGGAGAUUGGUUUCACAUUUUUAUGAAGGGUUAACACCUAGAGAUAGGCAAAUGGUUGAAUUGAUGUGCAAUGGAACUUUUGAAGAUAAAGACCCUAAUGAAGCAAUGAAGUACAUAGACUUGCUAACAAAAAAUGCUCAAAAUUGGGACACCAUAGAUACUUCUGAGACACCAAGUAAAACUCAACCUCAUACAUCUAGAGGUAUACAACCUUAGAGAAGUCAUGACCUCCAAGCCAAGUUUGCAUCUUUAGCUAGAAAAGUUUGAAGCACUUGAAUUGAAAAGGGAGUGAUCAAUUAAAAUCUAUUCAAGACAUUGUGUGUCAAAUCUGUGAAACCAAUGAACACUCAAAAAAUGAUUGUCCAACUUUGCCUUCUUUUAGGGAAUGCCUUCAUGAAAAGCCAUGCUUUAAACAGUUUUCAAAGGCCCAAUCAUAACCCAUACUCACAAACGUAUAACCCUGGUUGGAUAAAUCACCUAAAUUUUAGUUGGAAGAGUGAUAGCAACAAUACACAAACUUAACAACCACCGUUUCAAGCACACCAUGAUUUCUAAAAUUCUUAUGGAUAUGCACCUCCUUAUGCUCCACCUCCUAGAAGAAAUCUUGAGGAAACAUUGCAUGCAUUCAUCAAAAAACAAGAGGCAAUCAACACUCAACUUGCUCAAGGCAUGCCAGAUUUUAAAGAUACUCUUGCAAAGUUAACAUCUACUCUCAGUUUCCAAGAAAAUGGUAAGUUUUCAUCUCAACAACAUCAAAAUCCAAAAGGACAAUACAAUGCAAAUGCAAGUAGUUCCGGAAGCCAACACAUGGAUCAAGUCAAAUCAGUCACCACUCUUCGUAGUGGUAAGGUUAUUGAAAAACCCGCUCUUGAACCUUGUGAGAAAGAUGAUGAGUCUAUCUUUGAGGGUAAGGAAGGGGUUGAAUAUGAACAUUGCAAAGAAAAUGUUGAUUCCCUGCCAGCACUCUCAUUUCCUCAUGCCAUGACCAAACAAAGAAAAGUCAACCACAACUCUGAAAUCUUUGACACUUUCAAACAUGUAAGGAUCAAUAUACCUUUGUUGGAUGCUAUUAAACAGGUUCCUUCCUAUGCUAAAUUUUUGAAAGAUCUGUGCACUGUGAAGAGAAAACUGAAUGUGACAAAGAAAACAUUUUUAGCCGAACAAGUGCCAUUCUUCAAACCAAUAAUGCUUUGAAAUAUAAAAACCCUGGUUGUGCUACAAUUUCUUGUUUUUAUUAAAGAACAUAAAAUUAAAAGAGCCUUAUUUGAUCUUGGAGCUAGUGUGAAUUUACUUUCAUAUUCAGUUUUUUUAAAGUCUUAAUCUAGGUGAGUUAAAACCAACUUCUGUAACUCUUUUACUUGCUGAUAGAUCUGUAAAAGUGCCUAGAGGAAUAGUUGAGGAUGUGUUAGUACAAGUUGAUAAAUUCAUUUACCCUGUAGAUUUUUUUGUCUUGGAUACACAACCUAUUGAAGCAUGUAAUUCAAUUCCUCUAAUUUUAGGGCGUCCAUUUCUUACCACUUCUAAUGCAUUAAUUAAUUGUAGGAAUGGACUGAUGAAGCUAUCAUUUGGAAACAUGACAUUGGAGAUGAAUAUUUUCAACAUUUACAAGCAACCUGGAGAUGAUAAUGAUUUACAGGAAGUGGAUUUUAUUGAAAAAUUAGUUCAUGAUCAAUUUCAAACCACUUCUAGUGAAACUGAGAUUGAUGAAUCUGAUGAUUUGCAAAUGGUCUCCUUUCAGGAACAAUCAAAGGCAUGUAAAUAGAGACCAUAAAUUGAAGAAUUGUGACACGACCAAAAGAUUGAUGUCUUCUCCCAAGUGCAGGAGUGUCAAAGUAAUAAAUAACCCGGCAAGACCAAGGUCGAACCACAGGGAGAUUAACUAUAAAUUAUAAAUAACAACACAACAACAACAACAACAACAACAAUUAGUAGUAGUAGUAAUAAUAGUAAUACUAAUACAAAUAAUAACAAUAAUAGUAAUAAUAGUAGUAGUAGUACUAAUAAUAUUAAUAAUAGUAAUAGUAAUAAUAAAGAGGACCUUUGAGAUGCAAGAUUAAUGUGAGGAUUAAACAAUAAUAAAAACAAAUGUCAAGGUUAGAAGAUCCAUUAAUGGUAUUUCAAACAAGUAUAAUAUAAACUCUUAUUAUUCAACUGGAAACCACACACAAAGGAGGUUCCAAUCGAAUGAUUUAUCAUUAAUAUCUCAUUAUAAAUUAUUAACAUGAUCAUAUUAAUUAUCUUAUUUAAAUAACACCAAACUUUUAAAUAUUGUCAGGAAUUCAUGAUGCUAACUAAUGUUAACAACAAAUCAAGUUCCUUUCAUAGCACAGGUGUAGGUAAACCAUACGGUUGGGCUAUGAGAGUGCUAAGCAUUUGUUGUACCAAGUGUUAUACAACACAAAUAUAGAUUAACCAUUUAACAAGCAAGAUAUUAAGAAUUAGUAAGAUAAAAAGAUAAGACAUGUUAAUAUUAAACAUUAAGGUCCAUGUUGAGUUUACAUUAUACUUAUUCUUACACCAUUAGUGUAACAUUUUCACGUUGACAUAAUAAACUUAGCUAAACAUAAUGAAGAAGAGAAACAUAAAUAAACAAAAAAGAACAUAAAUAAGAUACAAGUUAACUAAGUAAAGGAAAGGAAAUGAAAAGCAUAGACAAGAUAUUAAUGAAAGCAAAACUUAAGAAUUACAAAAAAAAUGUAAAGAGAGAGAGCAAGAACAAGUUCUUGAUCUGAACACUAAGAUGCCUAAAUGCAUGCCAAAUGCCUCCUUUUAUAGGCCAAAAUUUAGAACUAUUGAUUUGAUGACUAAUUGUUGAAUGGGUGGCCAACUCUUAACUUGGUGAAAAUCCUUAUCUUCUUGUCCGAAUAAAACAUCAUUGCUAACAUCAGAACUAGAACCACCUGUACGUAUGAAAGUUCUAGGAAAUUGUCUUAUCUUUUUAGGAAAAAAAAUUGAGGUCAUUUGGGCUUCUAGAACUUGAGAUAUGGGUUGAACACUAAACAAUAUCUGGGCUGCAGGACAUAUUUGGACUUGAAAACGACCUUUUUAAAUCUUGGACUGCACAUGAAAGUUGUAGGCCUAUGUCUUAGCAAAUCUAUCAAAAAAUUGAGAUCAUUUGGACAUUUAGAACUCGAGAUAUGACCCAAUUACCGAACAGUGUUCCAGUUUAGACUGCACCAAUAUUUUUUUUUCUAAGUUUGGCACUCUCUUUGUCCUUUCAAUUUCAAUACUUAAACUCAUCAAUCUAUCCUUUCAUUUAUGUGAUAGGCCUGCAUUUAAGAUGAACCUUUUCCAUAAAUUAAAGGUAUCUUAUUUUAUUAUUAUAAAACAUGCUUUAGUUAAGGAGUUAUUAAUACUUCAAGUGCAAAAUGAUGAUAUAAAACCUUGAUAAAAAUACACUUUUAAGUACUAAUCACACCCCCCAACCACCUUAUUACUAGUCCCUAGUAAUCAAAGCGUUAAAAUAGAAAAACAAUUUGCAAGUUCCAGAAAGCAAGGCAUUCAUCAUUAAACUUCCAUUAAUCUAUCCAAAUAAACAAACUCUCAUUAAAUUUGUAAUCCUGCUUCAUAUAUCUUAAACAAGAUAUUAAUAAACCUUGUUUUUAUGUGCUCAAUGAAAACAUAGAUGAUGAGACUUUUGUUGGAAGAAAACAAUAUUAUGUUCUAAUGUUUAAGAUUAACUUCCUGGGGUUGGGUAUUAUUAUAUAUAUAUAUUUUUUUUUUCUUUUUUUAUUAUUUAUUUAUAUACAUAUACAACUUAAAACACAAUGCAUCUUUAACAAAUGUAACGAGUUUUCGGCUAAUGACUCCCAAACCAAUUGGUCUUAGGGCAUUAGGUGUUGAGACACCCCUAUGAGCUUAGUAACUCGGGUUGCAGAUACUGAUAUGUAGAUAAUGCAAUGUUUUAUUUCCUUAAGCUUUUCUCCUUAACCCAUGUAACAAGCUUUAGGCCAAUAGCUCCUAAGUCUGUUGACUUUAGGGUAUUAGGUGUUAAAACACCCAUUCGAGCUUAAUUGCUUAGGUUAGGGAGGCUACGAAACCAAACUUAUCUAUGUUUUUAUUAUCAUCAAUAUUAUCAUUUUUUUUUCAAAUUAUACACUAUCCCUUUCCCUUAGUUGUUACCUUUAACAAAAGAACAUAAAUAAUGUAAUAAUCCAAUGUGCAACCCACAAUCAUAUGAUAAAGUGCGUGUGUGAAAAUGAAGGUUUAAGAAUACUUGUUAAAUGAGUAUAUGAGCAGGAUCGAGUGACAACAAUGUGAGAGUUUGUAAACCUGAAUAUUUCAAGAAGUAUUCUAAUAGACCUUGGUGAUGAUACUUACUAAGAUGCGUCUCAAGAGUCAAUAAAAUUUCCUCCUUACUCUGCCAUCCUAAUAACAAUUUUGUCAAAUAGUUUUAAUAAUAGUAAAAAGAGUUAGUAAGUUAGUUUUUUUUUAUGUCGACUACUACCCUCUCCCCCAACCAAAACGAGACAUUAUCCUCAAUGUCCUAAGGUAGAAAUCACCUGAAACACAAACAAUGACAAACCUGAAACACACUUAAACAAAUAUAAGAAGUAACAAAACAAAAUAAUAUGCUAUUAAUAAAACCAAAAAACACAAGGUUUCAAAAAUGAAGGCUCAAAUCUAAUCUAAGCUUUUUACGGCUUUCCUUAGUUGACCAAUUUAGGCGAAUCAUGCAGGGAUCAAUGACAGGGAUGAAAGAUUGUAGUUGGUCAAUCAAUUGUUCAGCAGUAGCAGCAGAGAUUAUGAUUGCUCGUGCCGAAGAUAUUAGAAAUUCAUGUUCCACAGCUUGAUCAAGAAAAGACAACAAUUUAUCAUAGAAACCAUUAACAUUUAACAAACCUAUAGGUUUAUGGUGAAUGUGCAGUUGGGCCCGAGAGGAAAUAUGAAAGAUCUCUUCCAAUGUGCCCAGACCACCUGGUAAGGCAAUGAAGGCAUCAACAUGGUUAAACAUGACAUUUAGUCGAUCAGACAUUGUGGGGACCUGUAGUUCCUCUCCAAUAUUUUUUCCAAUGAUGUCCCUAUUUGUUAAAGCUUUGGGGACAUCCCCCAAAACUUGACUGCCUCCUAAAAAUGCAGCCAUUGACACACCUCCCAUUAACCCAAGGUUACCUCCCCCAUACAUUAAAUGAAUCUUUCUCUCAGCUAGUACCCGACCAAGAUGAUUUGCUGAUUCUAAAAACUCUUUUUCUUUCCCAGGACUGGAUCCACCGAAAACACAAAUAUUUCUUAUGUGAUGACUUGAGGAACCUGCCAUUUCUACAUGCUUUUAUAUUUGAUGAAUGUAUGGGUUGAGUAGAAAUGAAGGGAAGGAAGAGAAUAAUUUAUAGAUGAGAAAUUGAAAAUGCAAUCAUACCACCUAUAUGUAGGCCAACUGUAGUCUCACACACACGCUCUCUGUUUAUUAAUUAUUUAUUUUGAAAAAAAGCAUGUGUAUGUACAAGUAGUUGUGAUUGUGCCUCACAUCUUCUCUUGGUUUUACAUCCAAGAACGACUUAAACGCUCUCUAUGGGUCGGGGAUAGGUUUCCCAUCCAGUUUUCUUAAAAACUGGCAAAUAAGGUCUUUUUUAGUUAGAUUCCCAAGACUAAGUCGGGCAUGUUCUUUAUGGAAUUGUGGCCAUAAAUCAUGAAUUUCACGAUGUACAUCUCCACUAGGAUGCGUCUCAAGGGUCAACAGAAGAUUAUUUAAAGACCCUUUACUGAGGCCAUCCUUAAUGAAUUGUAUUUUAUCUUCAUGGUUUACAUAUACCAUUCCUAAAAAAUGACAUGUCGCAUUACAAGUCCAUCUGACACAUCUAUGACAGACUUUCAGUAAUUUUGCAUGACGUUUCUUUGCAAAAGUGCUUUUACCUAUUCCAGGCAUGUGUGAAAUGAAAGAAUUGGAGGACUCACCUACUAAUCGGACCUUUGCUUCAAUUAGCCAGCGAAUAUCUUCAGGAAUUCCAUGAUUCAUUAACAACCUCAAUCUUGCACACCUAGUACGGUAAAUUUUUGUAAUCUCAUUUGAAGGCAAAGUGGAAAAAUACCUUUUCAAUUUUUCGAGAGUGGUGUCCAUUUUUAAAGAAUUGGGGAAAAGAUUCAAAGAAGGGAGAAAGAGCAAAGAAUUGCAAAAAUAUAGACAGAUAUUAGCUAUUAUUGAAAACUAAAAGAACCAACUUAAGUCACGGAGUACCGUUAUCCACCAUUUGACCGGGGUGAGAGAGAGACUAGCAAAACAAAAGUUACACCAAAACAAAACACAAAACAAUGUGAGAAAAAGAAUCAAUCUUUAUAUAUAGGAUCACUCAAUUCAAUAGUCAUUUUCAACCGAAAAAUUAUCGAAAUAAACUUUGAAACGAUGCCCAUUUACCUUGAAAACAUUGCCAUUCUUUGGAUUCUUGAUAUCACAGGCCCCAUAUGGAUAUACAUGUUUCAUAAUAAAAGGAUCGCUCCAUCUUGAUCUUAGUUUUCCAGGAAAUAAAUGGAGUUGAGAAUUAUAAAGCAAGACUUUUUGACCAACAUUGAAUGUUUUUCUAAGUAUUUUCUUGUCAUGAAACUCUUUGAUUCUUGCUUUAUGAAUUCUUGAAUUGUCAUAUGCAUAAUUUCUUAUUUUCUCAAGCUCAUUUAUUUACAAUUUUCGUAGCAUCAUCAAGGUUGGAAUUGAAAGCUUUAACAGCCCAAUAAGCUUUAUGUUCAAUUUUCACAGGCAAGUGCAAGGUUUUCCAUUUACUAAUCUAUAAGGUGCCAUACCUAAUGAUGUUUUUAUAAGCAGUUCGAUAAGUUCAAAGUGCAUCAUUAAGUCUUAAAGGCCAGUCUUUCCUAUUAGGGUUCACUGUUUUCUCCAAGAUUUGUUUGAUCUCCCUAUUAGCAAGCUCUACUUAUCCACUUGUAUGAGGGUGAUAAGGGGUGGCAACUUUGUGUGUGAUUCCAUAUUUUUUCAUUAAAGAAUCAAAUGGCUUGUUGCAUAAAUGUGUUCCACCAUCACUUAUCAUGGCUCGAGGGAUUCCAAAUCAACUCAAAAUAUUGUAUUUCAAAAACUUUAUCACUGUUUUGUGAUCAUUGUAUUGGCUUGGAAUUGCCUCUAUCUAUUUUGAAACAUAAUCUACUACGACUAAUAUGUACACGAAACCAAAUGAUGGAGGAAAUGGACCCAUGAAAUCUAUACGCCAACAAUCAAAGAUCUCAAUGACAAUAAUAGGAUUUAAAGGCAUGAUGUGACGUUUUGAAAUAGAUCCCAACUUUUAACAAUUUUCAUAAGUGUUGCAGAAUGCAUGUGAGUCCUUGAACAUGGUGGGCCAGUAAAAUCCACUUUGUAAGAUUUUUGCAGUUGUUUUUUUGACAAGAAAUGACACCCACAUGCCUCAGAAUGACCAAAUUUAAUGACGCUACUUCCCUCAUUGAUGAUUAUGUUUUUAUUAUAUAUGGGUCCCUGCAUUCUUGAUUAUGUUUAAAAACAUCCCCGUCCCUUUUUACCUCACUUUUUCUAGUUUUGAUCAAGGUUGUCAAUUCCGGUCUGUUUUGUUUGGAAUGGUCGAAACAUUUGAUACUUAUUAAAAAACAUAACAAAACGAAAAAAGUUUCAUCUUAUUUUAAAUCUCGGUCCAUUCCGGAGUUUUUGACUAAAUUUUGACUGGAAUGUUCCGGUUUCAUUCCACAUAUUUCAUUCUGGUCUUGAAAAGCCAUUGAAUCAAAUUGAAUCUGGUUCAAUUUAAUUAAUUAAACCACCCAAAUAUAAAAAGCUUUUUUUAAUUACUAUUUUCAAUUACAAUGAUACUAAUAAUAAUAUUGAAAAUUAUUAUUACUAUUUUCAUUAACAAUGAUAUUAAAUUUUUAAAAUUAGAUUUAUCACUAACAAUGAUACUAAUUUAUUAUUUAUGGAUAUUUUGAAAGUUGUAGAAUAUAUAUAAGAAACAUAAAUUAAUAUUUAAAAUUACUUUAUCACCAAUAAUAAAUGGAAUAAAAAUAAAAUUCAUAAUAUAAGUAAAAAUUUAGUUAAACUUACACUAAUGCAAAUAAGUCAAAAUACAAUAAAAAGAUACAAUUAUGGUGCUUGUUGUGGAGAUGAACCAUGAUAUUGUGGAUCAACAUAAGAUGAAUUAUGACAUGAUGGUCGAGGUGUAGGUCAAUAUAUUGGUGGAGAUGUGGGAUCCAUAGGUGUCAUUUUAUGGGGAGCCAUAUGUGGCUCCAUUGAUGGGGCCAUAAGUGCUGGCAUACCUUGGCCAAUGUUUGAUGUCCCACCAUGAUAUCCAAGAUUGUUCAUAAGAUAUUCUUUCAUAGAAUCCAUCUGUCGUUUCAUUUCAAAAAUAAAAUCAUCUCUUUUCUUUAUCCCGCUUCUUUUUUCUUUAUCUCCUUUUGCAAUGCUCGAUAAGAUGAAUUAGGAUAUUGUGACUUCACCGAGUAGGAAUGUGAUGAAGAACUUGUAAUCACUAUAGAUUUUGGCAUACGAGGUGCACUAUAUACCCUACCCUUUGUAACUCCUCCUGAAGCCACCACCAAGCUGCUCCAUCAAAUGAAGAAUGAUUUUUCCUAUUAGUUCCGUACUUUGAAAUCAUCUCCUUCUUAUCAUUUUCCUUAAAAAUAAAAUACAUACAAUAAUAAAUUCAUUUGAAUGUUAAAUAGUAUUUAAGUUAUAUAAAUAAAUAAAUAAAAAUACAUACAAUCACUUUCUUAGACUUGCUAUUUACAAAGAUUCUAAACUGCUUAGUACUUUGAUGCAAAGCUGAAACGACAUCAUCUCAUGAAGGUUUUUUUUUCUACCAACUUGCUUUUGCUAGGAAUUAUGAAACAUGUCCGUCAUGAACUCUCAUAAGUCUCUCAUCAUUUUGACAAUAUCUUGCAUUGGACUGUGUAAUUCAACACCUUCGAUGCGGACCUGGAUUUCGGGUAGAAAUCAUGAUGCUAUUUUAUGACAUGGAAAACAAAAUUAGGGUAUUUUUUAAACCUUUAUGAACUCUCACAACUCUCACAAGGCUCUCACCAUUUUGACGAUCUUUUGUAAUGGACUGUGUAAUUCAACACCUUCAAUUCAGACCUGGAUUUUAGCUAGAAAUCUUGACGCUAUUUUAUGAUAUGGAAAACAAAAUUAUGUUUUAAUUUAUAUAUAUGGGUCCCUGCAUUCUUCAUUAUGUUUAAAAACUUCCCCAUCCCUUUUUACCUCACUUUUUUCUAGUUUUGAUCAAGGUUGUCAAUUUCGUUCUGUUUUGUUUGGAAUCACCGAAACAUUUCAUAUCUAUUAAAAAACAUAACAAAACAGAACAAGUUUCAUCUUAUUUUAAAUCUCGGUCCAUUCCGGAGUUUUUGACUAAAUUUUGACUGGAAUGUUCCGGUUUCAUUCCACAUAUUUCAUUCCGGUCUUGAAAAGCCAUUGAAUCAAAUUGAAUCUGGUUCAAUUUAAUUAAUUAAACCACCCAAGUAUAAAAAGCUUUUUUUAAUUACUAUUUUCAAUAACAAUGAUAUUAAUAAUAAUAUUGAAAAUUAUUAUUAUUUUCAUUAACAAUGAUAAAAUUUUUAAAUUAGAUUUAUCACUAAUAUAUAUGGUUUAUUUCAUGUUUUUUUUCAUGUUUAUACUUUGGAGAAAUUUGAGCAAAACAAGGGAUGCUUUAGAUCCCAUUAGCCUCGAUAACGUUGAACUAGCUUUAUAUGUAAAAUAUUGGUAUUAAAACAUUUUACUUUCAUAAUAUUUUGAUAUUUUGUUUAAGUUAGUUGAGAAUAAUGGAAUGUGUUGGGUUGUGCCUUAGCCAACCUUCCUAUUUAUAUAGAGGCAGCAAAACACUGCAGUAACUAUAAUGAUUACAACAUCCUAUAUUACUUUCCUAUCCUGAUAGAUACAUGAGUAACUGUAAUGAUAACAACAUCCUAUAUUAAUUUCCUAUUCUACAAUAUGCCCCCUCAAGUUGAGGGUGGGGGAUCAACUCGAAGCUUGAACCAAAAGAAGUAAAGGAUGCAACAUGAAGCGGUUUAGUGAAGACAUCGACAAGUUGAUCCCGAGAGGGAACAAAAUGAAUCUGAAUUUCUUUCUUGGCAACACGGUCACGAACAAAGUGAUAAUCCACUUCAACAUGCUUUGUACGAGCAUGGAAGAUAGGAUUUGCUGAGAGAUAGGUAGCACCAAGAUUAUCACACCAAAUGGUAGGAGCAGAGACUGAGGGAACUUGCAAAUCUGUUACACAGUUUGGCCAAAUGACUUCAAGCGGUACCAUCAGCAAGGGCUUUAUACUCAGCCUCAGUAGAGGAGUGAGCAAUAGUGCGUUGCUUGCCGGAUUUCCAAGAAAUCGGCGUCUGACCAAAAAAGACAAGAUAGCCGCCUGUAAACUUGCGAUCAUCAAUAACCAGCCCAAUCUGUAUCUAUAAAGCCAUGUAGAGCAAAAGAGGAGCCUUGAGUGAUAUGGAAACCAUAAGAUGUCGUACCUUUAAGAAAUAGCGUAAAAUACGUUUGACAGCGGCCCAAUGAGAAAUGUAAGAGCAUGCAUAAACUGACAGACUCUGUUAACAACAAAGCAUAUAUCUGGACGGGUGAAGGUAAGAUAUUGAACGGGUAUGCGUUUUUGAUAUGCGAACUUGAAUGCUAUAUUUACAGCUUUUAGUAUAUAAUUAGCUUGCUAUACAUGUUAUUUUCUCAAACUUUAAUGUUAUUUAUUUAUUUCAGGUCAGGUUCGGGUAGACCAAUAUCCAUACUCUACUCGGACUUGACUUUUUCCAUUUGAUUUAUUCGAAACUCGAUUGAGUCUAAAAGUUUUCUAUUUGAAUCGAUUGAGUUAGUAUGCAUAGGUAAAACUGUCAUGGUAAGUAUAAUCCAAAUACCAUAUUGUUUGGCAAUGAUAUGCUUUGCUAUUAGUUCUAACAUGACAACUAACAAACUAUCAACCCAACAAAAAGAUAUAAAAUCAUGUUAAAGAAUUAUCUCAACCACAAAACUUAAGUUGUUAUGUAAAGUUUUAAGAUAUAAUUAUAUUAUUAUCUAACCACCUCUCGAAUGAAAGCAUUUUGGGCUUGAAACUUGCAAACCCAUAUUACCUUGUGCUUUUUUUAUUCAAAUAUAGAGAUGGUGAGAUUCGAACUCGUAAUUACUUAAUUAUCAAGGCUAUAAUACCAUAUCAAAGAACCAUCUCAACACAAUAACUUAAACUAUUAUAUAAGAUUUCAAAUAAUUUAUAUUACUCUUUAAUCAUUUCGAUAUUAAUUUACAUGUAAGGGCAUAUUGUAUUCUGAAUGCCCCACGAAGACAGAAAGAGUUGGAAGAAAAAGGCUAGAAGCUAGAUGCUAGAGCAUGGAGCUAUGGACCAAUCUAUGAACUUUUCAGCCAGCAGAGCAAGUUGUUGUUUGGAGCCCUUCUACUUUAUAAAUUCUGAAGAGGCAAGAAAAAGAAGACUUUCAUCUUUUUUCGAGAGACAGAAGGCAUGCUAAUGAAACUAGGGGUGGGGGAGUUUUGUAGGUGAAGACCACGAGAUGAAGCACACACGGGGAAGGAAGAAUUAGAGCUUCGUGACAAACCUAAGAUUUUUGAAUUGUUCUCUUUUUUUUCAUGCUCAUGCAGCAGAUUAUCCUACGUAGACCACCAUUACCACAACAAGGAAGAGAUAGAGAGCUGCUAGUCAGCAAAUCUGCUGCAACUUGGUCCCUUGUUCUAUAAAUGGCUGCUGAUGUCGAGACUCAAAAAUCACUUCAAUUUCAAGAUCAAGAUUGAGUUUAUACACUAAUUCUUGCAUUAAUAUCAGUACUACUGCCAUUGAGACCAUGGCCUUCAAGACAUUUUCUUUGUUUCUCUCGUGAUUGCUGCAAUAUUGCAGCCCCAGUUGCUGAAGCUCAUUGGGCUUAUUGGCGGUCUUCUGGGUUUGAUCCGAUCCAAGGGACUAUUUUGCACUGCCGAUGGCAAUAUUGGUGCUAAUGGCACAGCAACCCCUGUUUUCCCUAGUAUGCUUGCCCUGAUUCCUCUCUUUUCUUUUUUCUUUUCUUUUGAUCGAUAGUAAAGUAUCCUCGGACCAGAUUGUCAUGUUAUAGUUACCAUUCAUCACAUACGACAUCGUCGAAUGCAAUUUGACUUUGUUCUUCUUCUUAUCUUGCUUAUAAAGUUGUAAUUACAGUAACGGGUUUUUUCUUGCAGAUGCUCUCGUGCAGUUGCAAUGUGGAGGAAAUGUGGUUUCUACGUCAACACCAAUGGAUCUGGGAUGUUUUCUAUUUUGUUGGUCCUCUAAAUUAUAUUCUUUCCUCGGUAUUGAGCGACUGCAACCUGAAGGUCGUCACCGCUGAUCAGCUGCACUCAGUCUCCCUUGCUGUGGGUGGCUCCUAUCACCCUUACAGUUCAUCGGGAACACUGCUCUAGGAGCCUCUGAGUGUUGCAAACAUCAUCCCUGCCGGAUUCCGAUUCGUGCCUUAAAUUAGGAGACCACUGUAGUGAAGGCGGCAUUUAUUAUAUUUAGUAUGGCCAUUGCUAUGUACUCUUUUAUGAAUAAGGCUGUUGUAUUUACGUGUGUACUGUUUAUUGUUUUUCUUGCUUCCCAGGAUAAGGUCAUGAUUGGCUAUGCCAUUAUAUUAUAUAAUGUAUAUAUUUAGCGGUCUAAAUUACGAGGGGCCUACUAAAAAACGUAGCAAGUAUUUUGAUGCAAAUAAAACUAAUUUGUUGCUAAAACAUUUAGCAACAAAAUUAGCAACAUCGAUGUAUUAUAUGCAGAUUUGUUUUGUUGAUUUUAUAAUAGGGAUUUGUCGGUUGUUGAUUUAUCAGUAAUGAAUAAUCUAUUGCUCACAAUUGCAUGGAUUUUCCGUGCUAACAAUUAGAAUGUCUGUUGCUGGUUUUUUGAAUUAUUUACAAUCAACAACGAAAAAUCCGUAGCUAAUUAUAUGAUUUUAUUUAAUUAAUAUAUAUUAUAUAUUUUAUCCAAAUGACUUUUUUUUAAUUUAUUAUUUAUGGAUAUUUGAAAGUUGUAGAAUAUAUAUAAGAACAUAAAUUAUAUUAUUAAUUACUUUAUCACCAAUAAUAAAUGGAAUAAAAAUAAAAUUCAUAAUUAAGUAAAAAUUUAGUUAACUUACACUAAUGCAAAUAAGUCAAAAUACAAUAAAAGAUACAAUUAUGGUGCUUGUUGUGGAGAUGCAUGAUUGUGGAUCAACAUAAGAUGAAUUAUGACAUGAUGGUCGGGUGUAAGGUCAAUUAUUGGUGGAGAUGUGGGAUCCAUAGAUGUCAUUUUAUGGGGAGCCAUAAGUGCUGGCAUACCUUGGUCAAUGUUUGAUGUCCCACCAUGAUAUCCAAGAUUGUUCAUAAGAUAUUCUUUCAUAGAAUCCAUCUGUCGUUUCAUUUCAAAAAUAAAAUCAUCUCUUUUCUUUAUCCCGCUUCUUUUUUCUUUAUCUCCUUUUGCAAUGCUCGAUAAGAUGAAUUAGGAUAUUGUGACUUCACCGAGUAGGAAUGUGAUGAAGAACUUGUAAUCACUAUAGAUUUUGGCAUACGAGGUGCACUAUAUACCCUACCCUUUGUAACUCCUCCUGAAGCCACACACCAAGCUGCUCCAUCAAAUGAAGAAUGAUUUUUCCUAUUAGUUCCGUACUUUGAAAUCAUCUCCUUCUUAUCAUUUUCCUUAAAAAUAAAAUACAUACAAUAAUAAAUUCAUUUGAAUGUUAAAUAGUAUUUAAGUUAUAUAAAUAAAUAAAUAAAAAUACAUACAAUCACUUUCUUAGACUUGCUAUUUACAAAGAUUCUAAACUGCUUAGUACUUUGAUGCAAAGCUGAAACGACAUCAUCUCAUGAAGGUUUUUUUUCUACCAACUUGCUUUUGCUAGGAAUUAUGAAAGAACAUGUCCGUCAUGAACUCUCAUAAGUCUCUCAUCAUUUUGACAAUAUCUUGCAUUGGACUGUGUAAUUCAACACCUUCGAUGCGGACUUGGAUUUCGAGUAGAAAUCAUGAUGCUAUUUUAUGACAUGGAAAACAAAAUUAGGGUAUUUUUUUAAACCUUUAUGAACUCUCACAACUCUCACAAGGCUCUCACCAUUUUGACGAUCUUUUGUAAUGGACUGUGUAAUUCAACACCUUCAAUUCAGACCUGGAUUUUAGCUAGAAAUCUUGACGCUAUUUUAUGAUAUGGAAAACAAAAUUAUGUUUUAAUUAUAUAUAUAUGAGUCCCUGCAUUCUUCAUUAUGUUUAAAAACUUCCCCAUCCCUUUUUACCUCACUUUUUUCUAGUUUUGAUCAAGGUUGUCAAUUUCGUUCUGUUUUGUUUGGAAUCACCGAAACAUUUCAUAUCUAUUAAAAAACAUAACAAAACAGAACAAGUUUCAUCUUAUUUUAAAUCUCGGUCCAUUCCGGAGUUUUUGACUAAAUUUUGACUGGAAUGUUCCGGUUUCAUUCCACAUAUUUCAUUCCGGUCUUGAAAAGCCAUUGAAUCAAAUUGAAUCUGGUUCAAUUUAAUUAAUUAAACCACCCAAGUAUAAAAAGCUUUUUUUAAUUACUAUUUUCAAUAACAAUGAUAUUAAUAAUAAUAUUGAAAAUUAUUAUUACUAUUUUCAUUAACAAUGAUAAUAAAUUUUUAAAAUUAGAUUUAUCACUAAUAUAUAUGGUUUAUUUUCAUGUUUUUUUUUCAUGUUUAUACUUUGGAGAAAUUUGAGCAAAACAAGGGAUGCUUUAGAUCCCAUUAGCCUCGAUAACGUUGAACUAGCUUUAUAUGUAAAAUAUUGGUAUUAAAACAUUUUACUUUCAUAAUAUUUUGAUAUUUUGUUUAAGUUAGUUGAGAAUAAUGGAAUGUGUUGGGUUGUGCCUUAGCCAACCUUCCUAUUUAUAUAGAGGCAGCAAAACACUGCAGUAACUAUAAUGAUUACAACAUCCUAUAUUACUUUCCUAUCCUGAUAGAUACAUGAGUAACUGUAAUGAUAACAACAUCCUAUAUUAAUUUCCUAUUCUACAAUAUGCCCCCUCAAGUUGAGGGUGGGGGAUCAACUCGAAGCUUGAACCGAAAAGAAGUAAAGGAUGCAACAUGAAGCGGUUUAGUGAAGACAUCGACAAGUUGAUCCCGAGAGGGAACAAAAUGAAUCUGAAUUUUUUUUUGGCAACACGGUCACGAACAAAGUGAUAAUCCACUUCAACAUGCUUUGUACGAGCAUGGAAGAUAGGAUUUGCUGAGAGAUAGGUAGCACCAAGAUUAUCACACCAAAUGGUAGGAGCAGAGACUAAGGGAACUUGCAAAUCUGUUAACAAGUAUUGAAGCCAAAUGACUUCAGCGGUACCAUCAGCAAGGGCUUUAUACUCAGCCUCAGUAGAGGAGUGAGCAAUAGUGCGUUGCUUGCCGGAUUUCCAAGAAAUCGGCGUCUGACCAAAAAAGACAAGAUAGCCACCCGUAAACUUGCGAUCAUCAAUACUACCAGCCCAAUCUGUAUCUAUAAAGCCAUGUAGAGCAAAAGAGGAGCCUUGAGUGAUAUGGAAACCAUAAGAUGUCGUACCUUUAAGAUAGCGUAAAAUACGUUUGACAGCGGCCCAAUGAGAAUAUGUAAGAGCAUGCAUAAACUGACAGACUCUGUUAACAACAAAGCAUAUAUCUGGACGGGUGAAGGUAAGAUAUUGAACGGGUAUGCGUUUUUGAUAUGCGAACUUGAAUGCUAUAUUUUACAGCUAUUUAGUAUAUAAUUAGCUUGCUAUACAUGUAUUUUUCUCAAACUUUAAUGUUAUUUAUUUAUUUCAGGUCAGGUUCGGGUAGACCAAUAUCCAUACUCUACUCGGACUUGACUUUUUCCAUUUGAAUUUUAUUCGAAACUCGAUUGAGUCUAAAUUUUUUCUAUUUGAAUCAAUUUGAGUUAGUAUGCAUAGGUAAAACUGUCAUGGUAAGUAUAAUCCAAAUACCAUAUUGUUUGGCAAUGAUAUGCUUUGCUAUUAGUUCUAACAUGACAACUAACAAAACUAUCACACCCAACAAAAAAAGAUAUAAAAUCAUGUUAAAGAAUUAUCUCAACCCAAUAACUUAAGUUGUUAUGUAAAGUUUUAAGAUAUAAUUUAUAUUAUUAUCUAACACACCCUCUCAAAUGAAAGCAUUUUGGGCUUGAAACUUGCACAAACCCAUAUUACCUUGUGCUUAAUUUUUAUCAAAUAAAUAGAGAUGGUGAGAUUCGAACUCGUAAUUACUUAAUUAUCAAGGCUAUAAUACCAUAUCAAAGAACCAUCUCAACACAAUAACUUAAACUAUUAUAUAAGAUUUCAAGAUAUAAUUUAUAUUACUCUCUAAUCAAUUUCGAUAUUAUUUACAUGUAAGGGCAUAUUGUAAUCUGAAUGCCCCACGGAGACAGAAAGAGUUGGAAGAAAAAAGGCUAGAAGCUAGAUGCUAGAGCAUGGAGCUAUGGACCAAUCUAUGAACUUUUCAGCCACGCAGAGCAAUUUGUUGUUUGGAGCCCUUCUACUUUAUAAAUUCUGAAGAGGCAAGAAAAAGAAGACUUUCAUCUUUUUUCGAGAGACAGAAGGCAUGCUAAUGAAACUAGGGGUGGGGGAGUUUUGUAGGUGAAGACCACAGAUGAAGCACACAGGGGAAGGAAGAAUUAGAGCUUCGUGACAAACCUAAGAUUUUUGAAUUUCUCUUUCUUUUCAUGGUCAUGCAGCAGAUUAUCCUACGUAAACUCACCAUCACCACAAACAAGGAAGAGAUAAGAGAGCUGUUAGUCAGCAAAAUCUGCUGCAACUUGGUCUCCCUUGUUCUAUAAAUGGCUGCUGAUGUCGAGACUCAAAAAUCACUUCAAUUUCAAGAUCAAGAUUGAGUUUAUACACUAAUUCUUGCAUUAAUAUCAGUACUACUGCCAUUGAGACCAUGGCCUUCAAGACAUUUCUCUUUGUUUCUCUCGUGAUUGCUGCAAUAUUGGCAGCCCCAGUUGCUGAAGCUCAGCUUGGGCUUAUUGGCGGUCUUCUGGGUUUGAUCCGCAUCCAAGGGACUCUAUUUUGCACUGCCGAUGGCAAUAUUGGUGCUAAUGGCACAGCAACCCCUUUUCCCUAGUAUGCUUGCCCUGAUUCCUCUUCCUUUUCUUUUUUCUUUUCUUUUGAUCGAUAGUAAAGUAUCCUCGGACCAGAUUGUCAUGAUUACAUAGUUACCAUUCAUCACAUACGACAUCGUCGAAUGCAAUUUGACUUUGUUCUUCUUCUUAUCUUGCUUAUAAAGUUGUAAUUACAGUAACGGGUUUUUUCUUGCAGAUGCUCUCGUGCAGUUGCAAUGUGGAGGAAAUGUGGUUUCUACGUCAACCACCAAUGGAUCUGGGAUGUUUUCUAUCUUGUUGGAUCCUCUAAAUUAUAUUCUUUCCUCGGUAUUGAGCGACUGCAACCUGAAGGUCGAUACACCGCUGAUCAGCUGCAACUCCAGUCUCCCUGCUGUGGGUGGCCUCCUAUCACCCUUACAGUUCAUCGGGAACACUGCUCUAGGAGCCCUCCUGAGUGUUGCAAACAUCAUCCCUGCCGGAUUCCGAUUCGUGCCUUUAAAUUAAGGAGACCACUGUAGCUGAAGGCGGCAUUAUUAUUAUUAUUAGUAUGGCCAUUGCUAUGUACUACUUUAUAUGAAUAAGGCUGUUGUAUUAUACGUGUGUACUGUUUAUUGUUUUUUCUUGCUUCCCAAGGAAUAAAGGUCAUGAUUGGCUAUGCAUUAUAUAUAUAUUUUUAUCCAAAUGACUUUUAAUUUUUUAAUUUAUUAUUUAUGGAUAUUUUGAAAGUUGUAGAAUAUAUAUAAGAAACAUAAAUUAAUAUUUAAAAUUACUUUAUCACCAAUAAUAAAUGGAAUAAAAAUAAAAUUCAUAAUAUAAUUAAAAAUUUAGUUAAACUUGCACUAAUGCAAAUAAAUCAAAAUACAAUAAAAAGAUAGAAUUAUGGUGCUUGUUGUGGAGACGAACCAUGAUACUGUGGAUCAACAUAAGAUGAAUUAUGAUAUGAUGGUCGAGGUGUAGGUCAAUAUUGUAAGAGUCUGAAGUGUACAACUCGAUUAAUGUUAAAAGAUCCCAAUAUAUCAUCUUAUUUGAGGGUAAUUUUUUUGUUUUCAUUUCCAAAAAUUUGACAGAGUUUCAUUUGUAUUUUGGACAUCUCAAGUUAUCGACUACUAUCAAUUUACUCAAUCAACCCAUCAUCACAAGGUCCCAUAAUUUUGGACCUUAUAUCAAACCUCAUAAUUCCACACCUCAUACAAUCCACACACAAUAUAUAUAUAUAUAUCUUACGAGUAAGUUCAAUAUGAACAUAGUCCAACACAUCAUAUCAUAAAAUUUAAAAGAAAAGGAAUAAUAACAUGCAAAGAAAGCAUUUACAAUAUAAGAAGUGUUCUUAAAUAUUUCAAAAGGGUUAAUUACAAGAUAACUAAAAUACUACAUGCUCAGCUGAACCUUUGUAAAUAUAUCAAGAUUUACACAAACGUAUACUACAUAAACAUGUUAAUUCCCUUUUAUUUUAAGUUAAAUAUUUACAUAAGCUUCACAAAGUAGAGUCCUAAACUAAUGAUCUUCCUGGAUAUUUGAUGAACCUGUUACAUAAAUAAACAUACCAUUAUGUUGAUAAAGAAUAUAUAUAUAUGCUCAUGUAAUGAAUACAAAUGAAGUAUUAACUUUCUAUUGGAUCCAUAAGAAUAUUAACAGAGAACUUAUAUUUUGCUUGUAAGUCUUUUAAACCCAAUUAACACUCAUUUAUAUACUCUUAAUUUCAAUACUCUAAUUUACUUGCAUGAACUGCAUCACCUUGCAAAGUUUAAUCUUGUAAUUCAUUUCCCGACAAUCCUAUCAUGGAUGCCAUUAGCCGAAGCUAAUCUUGUAAAUCAUCUCCCGGCAAUCCUAUCACGGAUGCCAUUAGCCGAAGCUAAUCUUGUAUUUACGCUAGACUUUAUUUACAUUGAACACAACAUUUAUUGUAAUUGCAUUCACCAGAAGAAUUUUAAAUUGUAUAAGUGCAAAUAAGAGGAAAAUCACGCACCUCCUUUGCUUGUCUCGCGACCUCCCCUAACAGAAGAUCCAAUCCUGGUUGCUCCUCCUGAAUCAUAAUGAAGUUUUUAGUUAUGAUUCCUUCAAGUCGAUAUUAUAGAGAAUCUAUAUUCAUCCAUUACUCAUAUGUUACUUUCUAUGCAUGUUCAUUUUCUCAUAAUAUCAUACAUACAUAUAUCAUGUACAUUUUAAGAGUUAGUAUCUCAAUGUGCAAGUGUUCGUAUGACACAAUUCUUUUAUAUUCUUAUAUAUAGUAUUCACGUGAAAGUGUAUUAUUACUGUCUAACUUUAAACUGUUACUGUCCAAUUUUGAAAUGUUACUGUCCAAUUUUUAACCGUUACUUUCCAAUCGUUACUGUCUAAUUUUGAACUGUUACUGUCCAAACACUCACCAGAUUUUUAACUAUAUCUAAAGUUCUAAAACUUCAUUUUAAGUGACAUUAAUCUCGUUAUAAAGCUAAGACACGAGGCUACAAGUUUUAUGAAGGGAGGAGAGCCUAGUUUUGCCUCUAAGAUAGUCAAAAUUGCUCAUAAAAUAGUUAGUCCUACUGCCCUACAUAAUCAGUCACGACUCAGUCUCAGUUGGUAACCCAUAACUGGAGUUCUACAUCUCCAAGUUGAGCAAGACCAGUUUCCUUGGUUAGCUCACAUUCAAAUCUACAAUUUCUAUGAGAAACCCGAUCCUAAUCCCCUCAUUCUCCUACCCAAAAUCUCAUCGAAAGUUAGGAGACAAGUCUGUCAUUUUUAUUGGUAGGAAAAGGACAGAUUUAGUUAGUCGAUCCACAAUGACCAAGAUUGCAUCAUUUCCCCUCUUUGCUUUGGGUAGUCUCGACACAAAGUCCGUUGUGAUCAUCUCCCACUUCCACUCAGGGAUUGGUAAUGGUUGUAACAGCCCUGCCGGUUUUCGGUGUUCUACUUUUACUUGUUGGCAAAUACUACAUUUUGCCACGUAACUAGCCACUUCUUUUCUCAUAUUUGGCCACUAGUAGUACUGCUUCAUAUCCUUGUAAAUCUUAGUACUACCUGGAUGUACAGUGAACUUAGACUCAUGAGCUUCUCGUAGUAACUUUUGUUUAAGGGCUUUGUUGUCCGGCACAUACAUACGUCCCCCUAACAUCAUUAUUUUAUGAUCACCCAUUCAAAAAAGAGUUUCACAUCCCGAUUCCAGUUUGAUUCUCACUUUUGACACCUCAUCAUCAUGUUGUUGUGCCUUUAAUAUUUUCUCUUGAUAUCCUGACUUCACCCUUAGUUGAGCCAUUAAGGAUCCUUCCAGACUCACAUCUAAUAUUGUCCCCAACCUCUUUAGCUCAAUCAUAGUUUCCUCAUUCCAAGUCGUUGGUCCACCCCUAAUCACCUUGUCUUUACGGCUGAGAGCAUCCGCGACUACAUUCGCUUUUCCUGGAUGGUAAUCUAUAUUAUAGUCAUAGUCUUUAAUUAAUUCUACCCAUCUCCGUUGUCGCAUAUUCAACUCCUUCUACGACAUCAGAUAUUUAAGGCUCUUAUGAUCCGUGAAAAUUUAGACUUGGGAUCCGUAUAAGUAAUGCCUCCAUACUCGUAAAGCAAAAACUACUGCUGCCAAUUCUAUGUCAUAAACUGGGUAAUUGACUUCAUGAGUCUUCAGUUGUCUCGAUGCAUAGGCAACUACUUUUCCAUGCUGCAUUAGAACACAACCUAGUCCUUUUCUUGAGGCAUCACUGUAGACUACAAAGCCUUCUGUUCCGGAUGGAAGGAUUAGCACGAGGGUAGUACUAAGCCUUCUCUUCAAUUCUUGAAAGCUCUCAUCGCACUCCUUUGACCACUCCCAUCUUAUGUUCUUCUUGGUGAGUUGUGUUAAUGGAGUUGCUAUCGUUGAAAACCCUUCGAUAAAUCUUCUAUAAUACCCUGCCAAUCCGAGAAAACUACAAAUUUCAGUUACCUUAGUAGGCCUUUCCCAUCUCAAAAUUGCUUCCACCUUUUGAGGGCCCACAAAAAUGCCUUUUGAAGACACUACAUGCCCCAAAAAGGUAACUUAUUUUAACCAGAAGUCACAUUUAUCCAACUUGGUAUACAACUAGCGGCUCCUCAGAGUCUGUAGUGUCUGUCUCAGGUGCUGUUCAUGCUUCUCAUAGGAUUUGGAGUAAAUCAAGAUGUCAUCGAUAUGAAUACAACAACAAACUUAUCAAGGUAUGGUUGGAAUACUCGGUUAAUUAAAUCCAUAAAAACUGCUCGAGCAUUAGUUAAUCCAAAGGGUAGCACCAAGAACCCAAAGUGAGUUCUGAAGGCAGUUUUUGGCACAUCUUGCCCCUUGAUUUGUAUUUGGUAGUAUCCUAAUCUUAAAUCUAUAUUUGAGAAUACUUUGGCACCCUCAACUGAUUGAAUAAAUCAUCUAUCCGCAGAAGUGGAUUUAUGUUCUUUACCGUCACUUUAUUCAGCUGAUAGUAAUCUAUGCAAAGCCUCAACGUUCCAUCUUUCUUCUUCACAAAUAAUACAGGUGCCCCCUAAGGUGAGUUGCUUGGUCGUAUGAACACUUUGUCUAAAAGCUCCUGUAAUUGAAUUUUCAACUCAUCCAAUUCUUUUAGGGCCAUUCUAUAUGGUGGUUGGGCUAUAGGAGACACCCCAGGCAAUAUAUCUAUGGUGAUUUCAACUUCUCUUUCUGGGGGCAGUCCUGGCAAUUCUUCCAGAAAUACGUCUAGAAAUUCCCUCAUAAUUGGAAUGUCAGAAAUUCUUAUUUUACCAUUUUUCAAAUUUAUCACAUAGGCAAGGUAUGAUGUAAAACCUUUCUUUAGUAGUUUUCUCGCAACCAUACUCGAGAUCAUAUUUGUAAAGUUGGAAAUUUUCUCACCCUUAAAGACCAUUGUUUCACCCUUAGCCCCUUGGAAGGUUACUAUUUUUGUAAAGCAGUCUAGAGGAGCCUUAUUUUUGCCCAACCAAUUCAUACCUAUAAUUAUAUCAAAAUCACUUAAUUCUAUGGGUAUUAAAUAUGCUUUUAGUUCACACCCAUUCAUGUUAAUUCCCACCCCUUCAAAUACAACAUUUGUUUCCACAGUUUCACCCAAAGGUGUCCGAAUAAUAAAUCCUUUCUCUACCCUUUUUGUUUCCUUACUCAAUUUGGCUACAUUUUUAUUUGCUAUAAAAGAGUGAGUGGCACCAGAAUCAAACAAAACAUGUAUUUGAUAGUCAUUCAUUUGCAGCAUACCUGCCACCACAUCUGAUGCUGCUCUGACAUCCUCCUGGGUCAUUUGGAAAACCCUUCCUUGAUCUCUUUCAUUUUGCACUCUGGGUCGUCUCUUAUUUGAGUUAGCUCCUGACUAAGUCGACCUUCUCGGUCUGUUUACUGUGAUAGACUGCUGAUGACUCUGACUUUGCUGCCUAUAUCUCUGAGAUUGUUUAGUGUUUAACUGGGGGCAUUCCCUUUUAAAGUGACCCUUCUCACCACAGUGAUAACAUCCUCUUCCCAAGUACUGACAGGCGUGCCUCCCUCAGUUUCGGCGGUGCGGUAGGCGGUCGGCCAAUGUCUUCAGUCGGUGGGCUAGAGGGACCGGCGGUCGGUGGGCUGGAGGGACCAACGCCAUUAAAUAUACAUCUUUUUUCCUUCUUUACUGCUGUAUGUUAGGCGGGGAAGAAAGGGGAACAAUGCCGUUCAAAACGGCACCGUUUAGCCCUUUUCUGUUUUUUUUUUUUUUGCAUGGGCUGGUUACUGUGCACAUAGUAACCGGGUUACUGUGUGUACAGUAACCAGAGAAUUAAUCUACGGGUUACUGCGCCAGUACUGCGCACAUAUUUUUUUUUUUUUUUUGUAUUUAUUAUUUUUUUAUGGGGACCCAAAAAUGGGUUACAACAGUUGCCCCCCUCUUUACAAUGCUUACGGAGCAAAGAUUUGUGCAUAGUAAGUGUUGUAAAGAAAAAAACAUUGGUCUUCCGAAACUGGUCGUCUCAAAAUUUGAUUGACCUAAAACUUGAAUCGGACCCAAAGUCCUGUGUAUGGUUGGGCUAAACUGAGAUUCCUUUCGCCAAUCCCCUUUAACCCGAAAAAAAGGAAAGAAUGUGAAGUGUGGUCUCAUUGUAAUGGGUGACCUACCCAGAAAAAUGUUGGUGAGGGCUCAAAGGCGCACUCAAAAGGAGGUAGGGUUAGAAAACGCACUACCUAAGGGAUGAGGGCUCAAAAGCGCACUCAAAAUGGAGGUAGGGUUAGAAAACGCACUACCAAAGGGAUGAGGGCUCAAAGGCGCACUCAAAAUGGAGGUGAGGGCUCAAAGACGCACUCAAAAGGAGUUGAGGGCUCAAAGACGCACUCAAAAGGAGUUGAGGGCUCAAAGGCGCACUCAAAAAGGAGGUGAGGGCUCAAAGGCGCACUCAAGAUGGAGUUGAGGGCUCAAAGGCGCACUCAAAGGAGGUAGGGUUAGAAAACGCACUACCUAAGGGAUGAGGGCUCAAAGGCGCACUCAAAAGGCGGUGAGGGCUCAAAGGCGCACUCAAAGGAGGUAGGGUUAUAAAACGCACUACCCAAGGAUGAGGGCUCAAAGGCGCACUCAAUAGGAGUGAGGGCUCAAAGGCGCACUCAAAAUGGAGGUAGGGUUAGAAAACGCACUACCUAAGGGAUGAGGGCUCAAAGGCGCACUCAAACGGAGGUAGGGUUAUAAAACGCACUACCUAAAAGAUGAUGUUGAAACAAUGAUUGUCAAUGUUGAAAAGCAAAUGCAUUAUGAUUGAUAUGCAUAUAUACUUACCUGAGAAAUAUAGGCCCCCAUUUCUUCAUGGUGUCUUUGUUUUCUCUCAAAAGUUGUAGUGUUGGUAGUAAACUUCGAUGGCUUUUCCACUUUUGCUUACUCGGGUUACAUAUUGUGAUCUUGACCUCUGGGAAGGGUUUGACGUCAUCAUACAUCUUUGUCCUUCACCCCAACAAGUAGAGUUACCAAUUUUGCCCGUCAUUUUCCUUAGAACAGGAAUCAUGGAGCCAGCCCUACCAUGUGUUUUUGAUUGCCCCCCAGCUUGAUCAUGCCCCCCAAGUGUUCAACUUGGGUUUAGUUUGGGGUGAGGAUAUGUGAAAGUAAGUUUGGGUUUUUUGUACAAUGAAAUAUUUUCAUGCAAAAUUUUUUGGAACUUCAAAGUUAUGCCAAUCACAAAAAUGAUUUUGAUAUUGGUUCAAAAUAAACUUGUUCUAAAAAUUCAAGUGAUUCCUACGGACAGGUUUCUUGAAGUGAUGAAAGCUUUUUGCUUUUGGUUUAAAGAUGAAGUGACAUCUGGUUGGUCACAAAAGGUUUAAAUUUCAAUUUGAGGGUUAUUGAGAACCGAAUUGAGUCAAAGCAUUUAUUUUAUUCGCAUGAAUAAUGAUUUGACUUGCACGAGAAAACACUGCAUAUCGAUCCAGAUUGCUUGCCUUUGAUCAGAAAGGGCUUUAUCAGGUAUGUAAUGUAGGCUUUGGCUAUUGGUUACGAAGAAAAUGGAUAUGUUGCAGGCUCAAAAAGGUGUUUAAGGGAUUUCAAGAUUAGGGAUCACUUGUGCUUGUUUCCUGACCUUUUGUCUUUUGGAUUUGUUGUUUUCAAAAUAGUCUUCAUGCCCCCCAGUGUCGGGUUUGGGCUUUUCUCUUUGUUUUCUUCGUUUUUGUUUGGUUGAGCACAAUCAUAUCAGUUGUUUGUAUGAGAAGCUCAAAUCUUUUAGAUCUUCUUUUCUUUUCUUACAUGAUCAAUUCCAGCACUCAUCUUCACUGCUUUGUCUGGAUGGUAAAAAUAACAAACUCUCUUAUUUUGCCCCCCAGUGUGGGGUGUGAUCCUAGUCAAGGUUAUUUCAAAAAAUAUUACUAGGCUCAAAAUGGGACUGCAAAGGAUAUUUUAGCCUUGUGAAAGGAUUAUCAAAGAUGGCCUUUCCUCAUCUCAAACUCAUGCAUUGAGGAUCGAUAGGUGUUGCUUUCAUGCGCGUAUGCAAAGUGAUUUAUUCAGUCAAAUAAAACUCAGCUUUUGAGUCACCUCAUAGUGUUGUUUGUCUUUAUUGUCUUUUUUUCUUUCAAGUUUUCUAGGUAUAUGUGUACCUAUUUAAGGAAUCACUUGAAUUUUCAAAAUGCAUUUGUUUUGGACAAAUAUCAACACGAUUUUUGUUUUUGUACUCACUUUGGAGGUCCCAAAAAAAAUCCUUGAAAACAUAUGAGAUUAAUGUAUGGGUUUGGAAGAAAGGAACACCAAAGGAUUCUUCAUGUUGUAGUGUUGUGAGCAAAGUUGCGCUCAAAAUGUUAUUUACAUAUAAUAACAACAAAGAAGAGUGUGAUGUGAACACAAGAAAACACAUGAUCUUAUUUCACAAGAGAAGCUCAUUAACAGAGAAAGUCUUAUUCAAAAGCAUUAACAAAAGGAAAUAACAAGGCAGGCUUCAUUCCUCUAUUUUGGCGAAUCUGUUCAUAGGCUAAACUCUUCUUAAAAGCUCUGCGUAGAGGACUCAAAGACAAUGCGGAACAACACCCCGGUCAAAAAUUCAAGCUAUCAUGCUGGACCAUUGAUGCUUUCCAAUUCCCCAAACAUUCCAUCCUAAUAUGCUUCAAGCAUGAUUAGGCAGCGGGUUCGUAUUCACAUUGGGGGUGUCUUCCAACUCUAUCCAACCAGCCUUGAUUAAUUGCAGAAGCUUUCUCUUGAAGGCGUUGCAGGUAUAGAUGCUAUGCCCAGUAAUACCGGCAUGGUAUUCACAUUUGAGUUCUGGCUUGUACCAAUUAGGAUAAGGUGGCUGCAGAGGUGUUAGAGGUUCUGGAGCUAUUUGCCCAAUGCUCAAUAGCUUUUGAUACAUCUCAUUCAGGGGUAAUGGUAGUGGAGGCAGUUGUUCUUGAACCCUUUGGAAAUUUCCAAUUUGGCUUUUGGCUUGAAAGUUUUGGGGUUUAGGUUUUUGGAUGUUGGCAAUUUGGGAUGGAGUAUGGUAAUUUUGGGAUGUAUUAUUUUUACCCAUGUAGCCAUCUUCAACAUGGUGAACCUCUUUUCUUUCGAAGCCUCUUUUCUCGGUUGGUGCAGAAAUUCUACCACUCUUGACACCUUGCUCUAUGCGUUCACACACUAUCACGGCAUCAGUGAAUUGUUGGGCUGAACUACCCAUCAUAUGUUCGUAAUAUGGUGCUUUGAGUGUGUUGGCAAAUAAAGAGACCAUCUCUUUGUCCAGAAGUGGGGGAUGUACUUGAGCAGCUAAUUCUCGCCAUCUUUGAGCAUAUUCCCUUAUGCUUUCUUUAUCCUUUUUCUCUAUAUUGGACAAACUGGUUCUGUCGGGCGCAAUGUCCAUGUUGUAUUUGUAUUGCUUGACGAAAGCAUCCACAAGAUUUUUCCAGUUGCGAAUUUUUGUGUUAUCCAAUCUCAUGUACCAACUCAAAGUUGCCCCACUUAAACUGUCUUGGAAAAAGUGCAUUAGUAGUUUUUCAUCAUGUACUACCUCAGCCAUUUUAUUGCAGUAGGACCUGAGAUGAGUCAUGGGGCAUUGUGUUCCACUGUAUUUGAUGAAUUCAGGAACACGAAAUUUCUUUGGGAUAACCACGUUUGGGACCAAACACAUCUCUGCUGCCCGUACCGGGUCAUAUAAGUCUACCCCUUCAAUGGCUUUGAGUCUGGCUUCCAGCGCCUCUAUCUUAGCUUGAUCAAUGCUAUCAGAUGACUUAGCCUUGUGGGACUCAUUAGCAGAUGCCUUCACAACUGUUGGGGAUGGUGCAGGUGUCGUUGACUGCACAAAUGUUGGAUUUUGCUGAGGUUCUUGACCAUGUUCGCUCAUUCUUUCCUCAGGCUGAACUGAAGUAGGAGCCGGAUCAAAGGUGAUCGGUUGAUUAGAAGGACCUUCAUCAGAGGUAUUUCUUAGUGUUUGCUUGAGUAAGCUAGUGAGGUGAGCCACACUUAUUUUCAGAGACUCCAACUCCUCGUGCAAAUAGGCAUCACGUUGAGCACGCUCUUCAUCUUCCAUGUUUCUUGCUCGAAGUCGGGUGUUGUAGACUUUUUGGGGACCUAUAUUUCAAUCUGACAUGUAUGCAUGUUAAAUGUAUGAACAUGUAAUCUAUAUGACGAACUCGCCCUUCGAGGGGUGACAUAUGGUCGCAACUCUUGUAUGAUGAAACAAGAAUCUUGAUUCUUGCACAAACUCUACAAUGAAAAUUUUCUGAGCGACGGUUAUUGUGUCACCCAUAAGUCUGGAGUUCAAGAAGGGCUUGCUCGGAUGCAAAACAAUGUGUACGGAGCAUACAUCCUAAAGGCAGGUUCUAAUAUUUUUAAGUGAGACAAAAGGUAGGUUUACUAUUUGGUCUCUAAAAAAGGACUCUCGUUGUCCCAGUGAUCGCCCUCGUGGAGGCAAUAUGGGGGCUUGUAGGCAGUGAGAUGGCACGUGUCCAACUAUUACCAGUCUAAGCACUCAACGAAGAGUUGGGGUUUACACAAACUUAAACCUUGACUAAAAGUCAUAAGGUAAGCUGCUAGUUCCCCCUAACCUGAAGCUUGUGUGUGCUUAAAAAAAAUUAACUAUGUGAUGCAUGAGAUAAAUAUGUACAAAAAUUAAAGCGCACAACUAAAUAUGAACAAAUAUAUAAAGAAAAUGCAUAUUUAAAAAUAAACACGCAAACCAAACAAUAAAACACAAUCAUCAACAAAAAACAAAGCUUAGUCACAAAGUCCCCAGUGGAGUCGCCAUUCUGUCGCACGUGUGCGCGGCGCGGCGAUCGUCCACCCUCAAGGAAAAAAUGGAAAAAUAUUUAUUCCUGGCAAAUAGGGAGAGAUAAGGAAUUCUUGUCUCUACAAGUGCAAAUAUGGACUGGGAGUCACCACCUAGUAUUCUGGUUACUAGGAACCCUAACUGGUCUUUAGAGAUCGGGUACGAAGACUGGUUGCGUAAAGGGAAGGUAUUAGCACCCCAACUACGCCCUACCUAAGGUAGGCUGCAUUGUUUUGUCUGAUAAAAUCUAAGGUCGUGUUGUGGUUUCUUAUUGUUCGGAAUACGCAUUACAUGUAAUGUCAUACCCCAGGUUCUAUUGUCCAAAAAAAAGAAUUAAAUAUCCGGAAUAUGCAUUACGUGUAAAGUCAUACCCCGGAUACUAAGAGAAACAAAAUAAAAUUUUUGUUGUUUUUGAAAUAUUGGCCAAUAUUCUCUUGACUUUAAUAAACUGGUUAUUAAAGCCAAAAUGCAUGCUAAAACAUUUUUUUUUGUGUAUGAAAAAAAUACAAUAUGAAUUUUUAGCUUUGAGACACUUGGCCGUAUGCACAAAAACAUUUUUUUUUCUUUUUUUAAUUUUUUGUAUUUUGUGGAAGUUUUUUUUUUUUUUACGAAAACCGGGUAUUUGAAAAAUCAGAUUUUUGUAUUUUUAACAACAUAAAAAAAUACCAUCAAAUAUUAAUCGAAAUGACAUAAAAAUUACACUAAAAAAAUUAUAAAAUACUGAAACAAAUAUUUUUGAUUUUUUUUCUUUGAAAUGGGCCGGAUCAGGCCCAAAUAUAUGGGUUGGGCCGAACCUGGCCCAAAGAAUGGGCUGGUCACUGUGCACAUAGUAACCGGGGGGUGCUGUACACACAGUGACCACAGAAUUAAUUAGCAAUGCACAGUAACCGGGGGUUACUGUGCACACAGUAAUGUGAAUUAAUUAGUGCACAGUAACUAGCUAAUUAAUUCUGCAGGACGUAAACGUUCUGCAUGAAUUGAAGCAAAAAAAAUGACGGGAAAGGUAGGACGUUACCUGGAGCUGUUGAUGCUGGCAGCAGCUGAUGCAGCAGGGGUGGCGGCGGCGGCGCUGGCGGUUCGCGGUGGCCGGUGGUUUUUCUUCUCUCUCUCUCCUCUGUUUUUUCCCGUUUUCUUCUCUGCCUCUUCCCUUCUUCUUCUCUGCCUUCUCUCCUCUCUUCUCACUCUAUUCUCCCUUCUGUUACCUCUUCUGUUCCCUCUCUCUGUCUGUCCUCCUUCCUCCUCUCUUCUCCUCCAUUUAUAGCCCGUGAGCAUGCGUUUUUUUUUUUUUCAUCGUGGGGUCAUGCGGCGGCUGGUCGGGCGUGGCUGUCCGGGCGUGCCUCCCUCAGUUUCGGCGGUGCGGUAGGCGGUCGGCCAAUGUCUUCAGUCGGUGGGCUAGAGGGACCGGCGGUCGGUGGGCUGGAGGGACCAACGCCAUUAAAUAUACAUCUUUUUUCCUUCUUUACUGCUGUAUGUUAGGCGGGGAAGAAAGGGGAACAGUGCCGUUCAAAACGGCACCGUUUAGCCCUUUUCUGUUUUUUUUUUUUGCAUGGGCUGGUUACUGUGCACAUAGUAACCGGGUUACUGUGUGUACAGUAACCAGAGAAUUAAUCUACGGGUUACUGCGCCAGUACUGCGCACAUAUUUUUUUUUUUUUUUUUUUGUAUUUAUUAUUUUUUUAUGGGGACCCAAAAAUGGGUUAUGGGUUACAACACCAAGUACUGACAGGUUUUCCACUUAUGACCUUCUCCUCGACAUAUAUAGCAUCGUCCAGGAGAAACCAUACAACUCCCGGGGUGUCUUUGUUCACAUUGAGCACAUCAAGGGUAGCCAAUUUCAAUAUGAUCAUUAUGCCCCUUUGUAGCUAUAGCCCUGGAAUGGGUUUGACCACUUCCUGACCUCCCACCGAUAUCCUUUUGGAAACUAGUUGACGUCCCCCCUUUCUUUUUGAAUUGAAGGAAUUGUUCGGCUCUACCUUUCUUUGGAAGUGGUGGCCUGCCUAAAAGUUCCAUAUCCUUUCGUUUUCCUGCACCCCUAUGACUCUAUUGGCCUUCUUCCAUACAAGCCUCCAAGGCCUGUGCUGCUUCAAUCAGUUCCCUUACUGUCCUGAAUUGCAAAGAAAUCAACCCCUGCUUCAAUUCUUGUCUGAAGCCAUCCCUUAACUUUUCUAUCAUGUGUUGUUCUGAUGGGACAUAAUGUGGUGCGAAUAGUGAGAGGUCAUGAAAUCAUCUCUCAUACUCAAGUACUGACAUUCCUCCUGUCUCAAGGCUAGGAAUUCUUGUUCCUUCAUCUUCCAAUGAUAUUUGGAGUAAUAGUGAUUCUCAAACUCUAUCUUGAAAUCAUCCUAGGAUAGGGUUUCUGUAGCCCUCCUCAACUGAACUGUCUCUCACCAAGUCAUAGCACCGUCUAAUAGUAAUUGAGUAGCACAAUCUACCCGUAAAUAAUGUGGUAUCUGAAUUUGAAUCAUGGUUUUUUCCACCUUUCUAAUCCACCUUCCCGCCACUUCAGCAUUAUAUUCAUCUAAGUAGGGUUCACAACCCAUUUCUCUCAUACUUUUCACCAAACGAACUAGUUGUACCACGUCAUUGGUAGCUAUAACUGCUUCUAAAACGGUUUGUAUGAUGGGUGCUGUUGCAAUAUCGCGGUCGCACAAAUUAAUUACCCUAGCUUCAAACACAACACACAAGAUAGUAUAGAGCAAGCAAGGGGUCAAUCCCAUGAGGAAGGUUCAAGUCAGAUUUUUAUGCUAGAUGAUAUGCAAUUUGGGGGGGGGGGGUUGGACGUUAUCUAGGCUAAAGCAAAAGAAAACAGAAAACUAUCAAACAAAUUUAAUAAAAUCAGAAAAUUAUCAAGAGAACAAACCUUAGUCGCAAGCACACAUCCACCUAUAGAAAUCAGAACUGAUCAUGGAAACGAAACAUCAAUUUAUAUUUUGAAUAUUUAUCUCUUCUUAACAUUGGUUAGUUAACGGAUCCGCCGUAUAACUAACGCUAACCAUCAAACAACCAUAGUGUCCGCACUAGUAAUUUAAUUCAAUGGCAGCCUUAAGAACUAGAUAAGUUUAUUAAUCAAGAAAACAUAAUUGUCCGUAGUCUAUUUUGAUUUGAUUGAAUGUUCUCCCUAAGAUUAAUAAUGUAGAUCCACCACAAUUAUUAAACUCAGUUGCUUCACAAGUUCAUAUACCAUAACUCCGGUUUUGAUAUCAAACUUAGCAAUAGAUUGUCUACAAUAAAAACUUAGAGUCCGCUCUAGCAAUUAAAAUAAACAAUCAUAGGAAAAAAAGCAUAGGAGAACAAACAUAUUCAUCAUAUAAACUGAAAAGAAAAGGUAAAAUAAAUCUCACAGUUCUUAAAAUCCGAAGGUUUCCAUGUCCUUGCAACCAAGAAAACGAGUUUAGCCUUGCAUGUUUGUUGAAUAACUAAUCAAAAAGAUGGAGGAAUGCAUGAUUUCGGGUUUUUAGAGAAGGGGGGGCAUUUUUCUCCUCUUGGCUAAUUGCCCCCUUCUCUUCUCUCAUUCUUUUUAUAUCAUAUGAAACCCUAGUCUCUAUUUUACAAAAUAAUCCUCUCUUAAGUAGACUAUUUACAUUUAAGUACUUCAAUAAUUAUUUUUCCUAAAAAAGAAGAAAUAGUCUAGCAUGAAAUAUUCAAGCUUUGACUUAGAGGAGCUAAAUUGCUAAAAUAAAAACUUGGAUAUUGGUUUAGAUGCUCCGGAACGUAAUUUGGACUCGUUUCUUCACGAAACCUAUUUGCUGGCAGAAUUCAGUUGUCAUCUUUGAAAAAUCAUAUCUACCUCAUAUGACAUCGUUUUUUGCUGAACUUUGGAGCGUUUAUAGGUCUUUGAGUCAGGAAUCCAACACAAUUUAGUUUUUAUCAAUUGGACUUUUGUAGCUUUAGAUAUUCAAGUCGGAAUGACCAAAGGUCAACACUGGCAGAUUGCGAGAUUUGACUUUGAAAGCUGCGAUUUCCAUGCUCUUCCUUAUUUUAUUGUCUUGCUUAGAUAUCCAGAAAGGUAUGGAUGUUAGCUUUUUAAUUCCACUAGAAUCACUUCAUUUUGACUUUUAGAGCUCAUGCUCUGCACAAAACAUCGAUUGAAGGUCAAAUAUGUCAAUUACCUCCAAUUUACUCCUUUUUGCAUCUUUCAUCCAAAAGUGCCUUCAAAACAUAAAACAAAGAAUAUCAAGGCAUUUUAUAUAUAAAACAUAUGCAAAACACUAGUUAAGUGUGGGUGAAACUAUCGAAUAAUAUGGUUGCAUCAGGUGCAGGUGGGGGUGCUGGCAUAGGAGUGGCAGCAUUAACCAUACCUUCCAUUACUGCUUUGACUAACUGGGCCAGGAACAUCGGAUCAACAUAAGAAACAUAUGGCCUUGCAGGUGUAGUCUAAGGGGGCUCCUCUACUCGUUCCCGUGGGGCUGAAAUGGUCGGUUGAACAUCCCCAGUUUGCCUUGAUGCCUGUCUAAUUUGAGGCCCCGUCGAUUCUUCAUGCCCUGCUUGAGUCGAUACUACCGAUGCAUGUGAAGCAUUAUCUUCCAAAGGGCUCUCUUCUUGCCCCUCAGAAAAGUCUAUAUCUCUAUUCCCCCUCCUUGUAGAGGAUAAAUCUAUUCUAAUCUCUUGACGGGUACGUACCAUCCUGCAAUAAAUUAAUGAACAUCAACAACCUCUUUUGAUUUCUUACCCGAACCUAUACCACGACUCUGAUACCAACUGUAACAGUCCAAAGUGUACGACUUGAUUAAUGUUAAAAGAUCCCAACAUAUCCUCUUUAUUUGAGGGUAGUUUUGUUUUUCAUUUCCAAAAAUUUAGCAGAGUUUCGUUUGCAUUUUGGACAUCUCAAGUUAUCGACUUUUAUCAAUUUACUCAAUCAACCCAUCAUCACAAGAUCUUAUAAUUCUGGACCUUAUAUCAAACCUCAAAAUUCCACACCUCAUACAAUCCACACAAUAUAUAUAUCCUACGAGCAAGUUCAAUAUGAACAUAGUCCGACACAUCAUAUCAUAAAAUUUAAAAGAAAAGGAAUACUAACAUGCAAAGAAAGUAUUUACAAUAUAAGUGUUCUUAAAUAUUUCAAAAGGGUUAAUUACAAGAUAACUAAAAUACUACAUGCUCAGCUAAACCUUUGUAAAUACAUCAAGGCAUACACAAAAGUAUACUACAUAAACAUGUUAAUUCCUUUUUGUUUUAAGUUAAAUAUUUACAUAAGCUUCACAAUGUAGAGUCCUAAACUAUUGAUCUUCCUGGAUAUUUGAUGGACCUGUUACAUAAAUAAACAUACCAUUAUGUUGAUAAAGAAUAUAUAUAUGCUCAUGUAAUGAAUACAAAUGAAGUAUUAACUUUCUAUCGGAUCCAUAAGAAUUCUAACAGAGAACUUAUAUUUUGCUUGUAAGUCUUUUAAACCCAAUUAACACUCAUUUGUACACUCUUAAUUUGAAUACUCUAAUUUACUUGCAUGAAAUGGGUGACCUUGCAAAGUUUAAUCUUGUAAUUCAUUUCCCGGCAUUCCUAUCACGGAUGCCAUUAGCCGAAGCUAAUCUUGUAAUUCAUAUCCCGGUAAUCCUAUCACGGAUGUCAUUAGCCGAAGCUAAUCUUGUAAAUCAUCUCCCGACAAUCCUAUCACGGAUGCCAUUAGCCGAAGUUAAUCUUGUAUUUACGCUAGACUUUAUUUACAUUGAACACGACAUUUAUUGUAAUUGCAUUCACCAGAAGAAUUUUAAAUUGUAUAAGAGCAAAUAGGAGGAAAAUCACGAACCUGCUUUGCUUGUCUCGCAACCUCCCCUAACAGAAGAUCCAAUCCUGGUUGCUCCUCCUGAAUCAUAAGGAAGUUUUUGGUUAUGAUUCCUUCAAGCCGAUACUAUAGAGAAUCCAUAUUCGUCCAUUACUUAUAUGUUACUUUCUAUGCAUGUUCAUUUCCUCAUAAUAUCAUACAUACAUAUAUCAUGUAUAUUUUCAGAGUUAGUCUCUCAAUGUGCAAGUGUUCGUAUGACACAAUUCUUUUAUAUUCUUAUAUAUAGUAUUCACGUGAAAGUCUACUAUUAGUGUCUAAUUUUCAACUAUUACUGUCCAAUUUUUAAUUGUUACUGUCCAACCGUUACAGUCUAAUUUUGAACUGUUACUGUCUAAUUUUCAACUAUUACUGUCCAACCGUUACUGUCUAAUUUUGAACUGUUACUGUCCAAACACUCAUCAAAUUUUUAACUAUAUCUAAAGUUCUAAAACUUCAUUUUAAGUGAGAUUAAUCUCGUUAGAAAGCUAAGACACGAGGCUACAAGUUCUCUGAAGGGAGGAGAACCCACUUUUGCCUCCAAGAUAGUCAAAAUUGCUCAUUAAAUAGUUAGUCGUACUGCCCUACAUAAUCAGUCACGACUCAGUCUCAGUUGGUAACCCAUAACUAGAGUUCUACAUCUCCAAAUUGAGCAAGACCAGUUUCCUUGGUUAGCUAACAUUCAAAUCUACAAUUUCUAUGAGAAACCCGAUCCUAUCCCCUCGUCCUCCUACUCAAAAUCUCAUCGAAUGUUAGGAGACAAGUCUAUCCAGGUUCGUCUCCCCCCUCCCCUUACACAAUACUUUCAUAAACUACAUACCACACACAUAAAUGAACUUAAUCUCAACAAUAAGUACUUUUUCCCCAAUUUAUGUCUAAGAACCCUAACCUAUGAUUCAAUAUCAAGGCAUCAAUUCUUUAUCGAAUUAAAAAAAAUAAAUUUUUUUUAAGAUCAUGUUUAGAAUACCUUACUCGGUACAAAUUACGAUUUUGAUCUUCAACCAGUAGAAGAUUUUCAACUCCCUCCUUUCUUUUCUUCUUGGUAAUCAUUUGCUCUCAAGUGUUUAUCCCAUCUAUAAGCUCUUAAUCUUGCAUGGGUUCUUGAAAUUUUAGUGUUUCUAUCUUGAUUUCUCAAGAAGGGGUAUAAAACUCCCUAUCUUCUCUCCUUAUGGUUCCUAUAGAUUUUUUUGGUGAGUAGAGAGUAUUGAUACUCUAUAUUUUCCUUUAUUUGCAUUUAGGCCCCCAUUUUUAUUUAAGUGUAUUAUUCUCUUCAAUUAAAUCCAACCCUUAACAGUACCAGGUUUAUUAUAAUGUCUCUAAUUAUUUCAUCCGGAAAUUUAUAUUCAAAAAUUUCUGAAUUUCUAUUUUUAUUUAAUGAUAUGCAUGAAUUUCUUCACUUUUACUUAUUUAUUAUAUAUAUAAUUUUUUUAUCCCGGGGUUUACAAAUAUAUUGGUGGAGAUGUGGGAUCCAUAGGUGUCAUUAUCUGGGGAGCCAUAUGUGGCGGCAUUAAUGGGGCCAUAGGUGCUGGCAUACCUUGGCCAAUGUUUGAUGUCUCACCAUGAUAUCCAAGAUUGUUCAUAAGAUAAUCUUUCAUAGAAUCCAUUUGUUGUUUCAUUUCAAAAAUAAAAUCAUCUCUUUUCUUUAUCCCGCUUUGUUUUUCUUUAUCUCUUUUUGCAAUGCUCGAUAAGAUGAAUUAGGAUAUGGUGACUUCACCGAGUAGGAAUGUGAUGAAGAACUUGUAUUCACUAUAGAUUUUGGCAUACGAGGUGCACAUUAUACCCUACCCUAUUGUAACUCCUCCUGAAGCCACACACCAAGCUGCUCCAUCAAAUGAAGGAUGAUUUUCCCGAUUAGUUCCAUACUUUGAAAUCAUCUCCUUAUCAUUUUCCUAAAAAUAAAAUACAUGCAAUAAUAAAUUCAUUUGAAUGUCAAAUAAUAUUUAAGUUAUAUAAAUAAAUAAAUAAAAUUACAUACAAUCACUUUUUUAGACUUGCUGUCUACAAAGAUGCUAGACUGCUUAGUACUCUGAUGCAAAGCUGAAAAGACAUCAUCUCAUGAAGGUUUUUUUUCUACCAAGUUGCUCUUGCUAGGAAUUAUGAAAGAACAUGUCCUUCAUGAACUCUCACAAGUCUCUCACCAUUUUAACGAUCUCUUGUAUUGUUCUGUGUAAUUCAACACCUUCGAUUCAGACCUAGAUUUCAGGUAGAAAUCUUGAUGUGAAAAACAAAAUUAGGGUUCUUUUUAUAUAUACCUUUACAGAUUUGUUUUGAAGUGAAAAUGGAACAUAAUUAUUCAGACUACUAAAAUUAUGGAACUAGUAAGGCCUUAAUGGCAUUGAACUAGACAUGGGAGAGAUUUAAAUGCAUGGUCCCUGCAUUCUUGAUUAUGUUUAAAAACGUCCUCGUCCCUUUUUACCUCACUUUUUCUAGUUUUGAUCAAGUCUUUCCAUUUCGUUAUGUUUCGUCUGGAAUGGCCGAGACAUUUCAUACGUAUUCAAAAAACAGAACAAUUUUCAUCUCAUUUCAAAUCUCGGUCCGUUCUGAAUUUUUUGGCUAAAUUUCAGCCGGAAUGUUUUGCUUUUAUUCCACAUAUUCCAUUCUAGUAUUGAAAAGCUAUUGAAUCAAAUUGAACCUGGUUCAAUUUAAUUAAUUAAACCACCCAAGUAUAAAAAAAAAAUUUAUUACUAUUUUCAAUAAAAAUGAUAUUAAAAAUAAUAUUAAAAAUUAUUAUUACUAUUUUCAUUUACAAUGAUAUUAAUUUUUUAAAAUUAGAUUUAUCACUAAUAUAUAUGGUUUAUAUUCAUGUUUUUUUUUUCAUAUUUAUACUAUGUAGGAAUUUGAGCAAAACAAGGGAUGCUUUAGAUCCCAUUAGUCUUGAUAACGUUGACUUAACUUUAUAUUUAAAAUAUUUGUGUUAAAACAUUUCUUUCAUAAUAUUUUGAUAUUUUGUUUAAGUUGAAUUACUUUAAGUUAAAGAUCUAUUUAAUUUUGAUUAUUUAGAAAUAUUUUAAAAUUUGAAAUUUUAUUUGUUUGACAUUGUGUUUGUAUUGCAUAAUUUAUAAUUAAUUUAUCUUGAAUUUUAAUGAUGUUUGUUGAAUAUGUAUAUAUGAACAAUAUAACUCCAAAACGGCAUGCCGAAACACUCUGAAACUGAAACAUUCCAUUCCAAUUAAAAAAAAACCCACCUACCGGAACAGAAUUGACAACCUUGGUUUUGAUUGUAUUUCCAAUUCAAAUCGUAAUUUAUAUGUAUGAAAAGAACUUUUUUUGCCAUCAUUUUUUUUUCUUCUGCGUUCCAUUAUUAUUUCUUUUCAAUUUUUAUAAUUUUUAUUGUAUAAUUCAAAUUUUGUUAGUGUUAUGAUGUUGUAGACUUCACGAUAAUAUUUAACAUCAUUAACAUGUAAUGAAGAUAAAAAUCAAACCUGCAAAGAUUAAAAUUAGUGCAAAAACAUGUAGAACAUUUUAAACACAAAACCAAGAAUACGUAACUUAAUUGAACAAUUAAGAGUUGGAAUACCUGAAUUUUAAUCCCUUGUCCUAAAAAAAUAAAUAAAAAGUGGAAUUAGGGGUAGCAAUAGAUAACUAACAGAGUUUUAUAUCAGGGAUGAUAAUUUAAUCUGAACUCGAUAGAUACCAACCUGAUUUGAAUGAAUGGAUGAAUAUUUUUUGUACUUGAUGGAUAAUGGAUAGAGUAUGGAUGUUGUGAAACACGACCUGAAACCUAUCCAAACCUAAAGUGGAAUAUAUUUGUAUAUUAUAUAAGUAUAUUUGUAAAAUACUUAGAUUUUUUAAUAGAAUAUGAUACAUACAUAUCUUGGUAUUGACAUAAUACACACUUAUAUAUAAACUAUUUUAUUUUUUAUUGAUUAAUAAAUAAUAGUAGAUAAUAAAUAACUAUUUGAUACCUGAAAUCCGAUGGAUAAUGAGUAGAGUAUGGAUAUCAAGAAAUCCAACCCGCGAGUAUGCAUUGUCAUCCCUGCUUUAUACUAUCUAUACCCGAAUUCAAAUCUAAAAUAACUACUCGAGCCUGAACGGGUAUGGGUUUUUGAUACCCGAACUUGAAUGCUAUAUUUUACAGCUAUUAGUACAUAAUUAGCUUGCCAUACAUGUAAUUUUCUCAAACUUUAAUGUUAUUUAUUUAUUUCAGGGCAGGUUCGGGGAGAUCAAUAUCCAUACUCUACGCGUACCUGACUUUUUGCAUUUGAAUUUUACUCGAAACUCGAUUGAGUCUAAAAAUUUUCUAUUUGAAUCGAUUCGAGUUAGUAUUCAUAGGUAAAACUGUCAUCAUAAGUAUAAUCCAAAUACCAUAAUCUUUGGCAAUGAUAUGCUUUGCUAUUAGUUCUACCAUGACAACUAACAAAACUAUCACACCCAACAAAAAAAGCUAUGAAAUCCUGUUAAAGAAUUAUCUCAAUCCAAUAAUUUAAGUUGUUAUGUAAGGUUCCAAGAUAUAAUUUAUAUUAUUCUCUAACAUCCCCCCUCAAGUGAAAGUCAUUUGGACUCGAAACUUGCACAAACUCAUAUUAUACUGUGCUUACUUUUAUAGAAUAAAUAGGAAUGGUAAGAUUCGAAUUUAUAAUUACUUGAUCAUCAAGACUCUGAUAACAUGUCAAAUAAUCAUUUCAACCUAAUUACUUAAAUUGUUAGAUAAAAUUUCUAAAUAAAUCUGAUAUUAUUCUAUAAUAAAUCUGAUAUUAUUUGUGUAAGGGCAUAUUAGUGCCCUCACAGAGAAGCUAAGUAGAGUGGCGAGAACCGGACGACGGAAAGAGUUGGAAGAAAAAAGGCUAGAAGCUAGAUGCUAGAGCAUGAAGCUAUGGACCAAUCUAUGAACUUUUAAGAGCAAGUGGAGACGAACAAUUCUAUCGGAGAACCCCCAAGUUUCAGCUACGCAGAGCAAGUUGUUGUUUGGAGCCCCUUCUACUUUAUAAAUUCUGAAGAGGCAAGAAAAAGAAGACUUUCAUCUUUUUUCGAGAGACAGAAGGCAUGCUAAUGAAACUAGGGGUGGGGGAGUUUGUAGGUGAAGACCACAGAUGAAGCACACACGGGGAAGGAAGAAUUAGAGCUUCGUGACAAACCUAAGAUUUUUGAAUUGUUCUCUUUCUUUUCAUGGUCAUGCAGCAGAUUAUCCUACGUAAACUCACCAUCACCACAAACAAGGAAGAGAUAAGAGAGCUGUUAGUCAGCAAAAUCUGCUGCAACUUGGUCUCCCUUGUUCUAUAAAUGGCUGCUGAUGUCGAGACUCAAAAAUCACUUCAAUUUCAAGAUCAAGAUUGAGUUUAUACACUAAUUCUUGCAUUAAUAUCACUACUACUGCCAUUGAGACCAUGGCCUACAAGACAUUUCUCUUUGUUUCUCUCGUGAUUGCUGCAAUAUUGGCAGCCCCAGUUGCUGAAGCUCAGCUUGGGCUUAUUGGCGGUCUUCUGGGUUUGAUCCGCAUCCAAGGGACUCUAUUUUGCACUGCCGAUGGCAAUAUUGGUGCUAAUGGCACAGCAACCCCUGUUUUCCCUAGUAUGCUUGCCCUGAUUCCUCUUCCUUUUCUUUUUUUUUUUCUUUUUUUUUUCUUUUGAUCGAUAGUAAAGUAUCCUCGGACCAGAUUGAUUGUCAUGAUUACAUAGUUACCAUUCAUCACAUACGACAUCGUCGAAUGCAAUUUGACUUUGUUCUUCUUCUUAUCUUGCUUAUAAAGUUGUAAUUACAGUAACGGGUUUUUUCUUGCAGAUGCUCUCGUGCAGUUGCAAUGUGGAGGAAAUGUGGUUUCUACAUCAACCACCAAUGGAUCUGGGAUGUUUUCUAUUUUGUUGGAUCCUCUAAAUUAUAUUCUUUCCUCGGUAUUGAGCGACUGCAACCUGAAGGUCGAUACACCGCUGAUCAGCUGCAACUCGAGUCUCCCUGCUGUCGGUGGCCUCCUAUCACCCUUACGGUUCAUCGGGAACACUGCUCUAGGAGCCCUCCUGAGUGUUGCAAACAUCAUCCCUGCCGGAUUCCGAUUCGUGCCUUUAAAUUAAGGAGACCACUGUAGCUGAAGGCGGCAUUAUUAUUAUUAUUAGUAUGGCCAUUGCUAUGUACUACUUUAUAUGAAUAAGGCCGUUGUAUUAUUUGUGUGUACUGUUUAUUGUUUUUUCUUUCUUCC